rnacentral:lncRNA from 1 species
GAGCUUUGUAAUCUCAGCCAAUGUACACAGCAUAAUAAAGCUUAAAACAAUACAGAUUCAUUAUUCUAAUAAUAUUUACAUAAAAGAGAAAAGUGGAAGGUUAAGCAAUUACAUUCUGUCUGGAAUUUUAUCGGUUUCAUCUUCACAUUCCAUGAGAGUUUGGACCACAGCAGCCAUAGUAGGUUGCUUUAUAACCCAACAUACAGAGAGCUUUGUAAUCUCAGUCAAUGUACACAACAUAAUAAAGCUUAAAACAAUACAGAUUCAUUAUUCUAAUAAUAUUUACAUUGUUGGAAAAAAUGAGUGAGCGACUCACUUUUGGUACAAUUUUUGGUGGGACCCAUUGGUCCAAUUUGAAAUAUCAAAGUUGAUAUGUGUUCUCUUCCGCGAGAACAUCGAAGUCAUGUAUUUAUUUGCUAAAAAUGGAGCUCGGGUGAAUGAGAAAUUGGAGUUUAAAAUCGACCAUUGGAAAUGGUCUAUGUUGGUGGGAAAAUUAUAGUUAACUUUGUCCCACAUAGGAAAAACAUGGAAAUCAAACCACUUUAUAUAUGGCUAUGCAUUGGAAUGGUAUGAUCAUGUGUAACAUAGAGGCUCUCUCCACGUGCAUGCGCAGGGGGUGCAAAUCACGGACAGAAAUAGCCUUCGGACCUUGAACUUGGAUGCGAGGCACACAGAAAUGUCGGACUGAACGGAGCAAAAACUGGCCAGUUUGGAUUGUCUGCGUUUUGCAAUUUUUUUUGUGAUUUUUCCAAAUGACUUUUGAGUGUCUGAAACUCCUAAAACUCCAACGGUCGAAAUCGAAGUGUAACUCCAAAAACUGUAAUGGUUAAUACAGAAACUAAUGGUCAGAUUCAGUCUCUAUAAUUUCACUCAAUUUCCAGCAGUUUAUAUGCUGCAAUUUUCGUCUGCCUUCGUACAGUUUUGUUUUCUGUUUUUGUUCUGUCCCCUCCUAUGUCAUUCCAGUAAGGUGAUAUUAUUCGAACACUCACCCAGUUCGCUGGAGUAGAACCGCGGUGCUCGAAUUUUACUGGUUACCGUUAUAUCCUGGGAAACAGGCGUUCGAACUAAACCUCUAGCACUACGGUGAGGGGGCGAAUUUGUCUUAAAGAAAUUGUGUUUACACAGACAUCGGGGUUAAAAGUUUAUUUCCAAAUAUAUAUGCUUCCAAUUUGAGUAUAUGUGCUUUAAUUAUUUGCAGAUUUACAUGCUUAUAGAUUUUAUUUAGCUUUCUGAAAUUUAAACUGCUUUUAUGUUUCUGCAAAUAAUAUAAUUUGUCAUUCUUAUUUCAAGUAGUGAUUUAGAUAAUAGUUAGUAUCUAAUUAAUUUGUGAAAAAUAAAAUUAAGAAAAAAUUUAUCUGAAUUUUUUUUUUUCGAAAUUGUGUUUGUGCAAAUUAUAUGAAAACAAACACCAAAUUCUAUGUUAUCUAAAGUCAUUGUAUGAAAACAAAUAGUUGUAGAAAUUCUGUGUUUAAUUCUCUACCAAAUACGAUCACUGUCAUAUACGGUGACUGCCUGCCAAAUACGGUAAGUUGCACUGCCAAAUACGGUAAGUAAUUGUCAAAUACGAUAAGCAGCUGCCAAAUACGGUAAACAAUUGCCAAAUAUGGUAAGUGUGAACCCGGUGUCUAAAACAAAAUACGGUACAUGAAAACCCAAUUCCACUCCAUACACUACCGAUUAAAAAUAACAACAUGCAUAACAGAUAAAAGUGGAAGGUUAAGCAAUUACAUUCUGUCUGGAAUUUUAUCGGUUUCAUCUUCACAUUCCAUGAGAGUUUGGACCACAGCAGCCAUAGUAGGCCGCUUGCUUUGGUCUUCCUUUACACAAGAAAGGCCUAAUUGAAUCAGUGUUGCUGCUUGUUUUCUGCUAUAAUUCCCUUCCAAUCUUGAAUCCACUAUGCUCUCUACCCAAGAGGAGUUUCCACCCUCAGAUUUUUCCUUCACUGUCCUGUCAAAACUUUUAAGAGGAAUUUUUUGAUUGUCAGCAUCAUCUACCACCCAAUUUGAGAGUUUAAUUCCCUUUACCAUCUCGAGUAUUACAACACCAUAUCCAUAAACAUCGACUUUUGCAGUGAUUGGCUGGUUCAGAGCCCACUCUGGAGCCAUAUAGCCUUUCGUCCCUCGAAUUCUUGUAAUUUCAGAACCAGGGCUAUCUCUCCGAAACAGCUUUGCUAGCCCAAAAUCUGCAAUCUUGGGUUGAAAUUCACCGUCCAGAAGAAUAUUUUCUGGCUUCACGUCACAAUGGAUAACCCAUUCUAGACAUUCAUGGUGGAGGUAGGCUAAACCUUUGGCUGUGCCUAAUGCCACAGCAAAUCUUUGUUUCCAUCCCAGAAAAUUUGAGUUGAAAAGAUGUUUGUCAAGCGACAUGUUGUCGACGUAUUCAUAAACUAAGAGUCGGUGUCUCCCUUCUGAACAAAAUCCCCACAUUCUCACAAGAUUCAUGUGAUUGAUCUUUCCUAUGGUUCUCAUCUCCGCCCAGAACUCGUCUUCUCCUUGAACCACAUCUCCCAGUCUCUUCACGGCCACCACCCUAUCAUCUGCCAAAACACCCUUAUAAACAGCGCCGGAGCCUCCUCGGCCUAGCUCUUCCCUGAAGUUUUUGGUUGCUUUCUUCAAUUCGGCGUAGUUAAACCUCCUGAACUGAUUUGAUAUCAUGCGAUAUCCAGCUUCAACCGAAGCUGGAACCCCAUGUUUUGUGAAUAGAAACCACCAGCCUAAUACAAAAAAUAGGAGUUCAAUUACUCCAAGGGCCAAGCAAAAUGAGUAGAUAUACCCCCAUCUCACUGUUUUCCUGGCGAUGUUAUACAUAGAAGGAGAACCUACAAGAAUUUCUGCUUCCCGAGAUUCACACAUAGUGCUGGAAUCAUGAAAAAUUGAUGGUUUUGAUACUUGCAGACUCCUGGGAAGUUUAAUAUACACACUUCCAGGGAAAUCUGGAGAUGUAAAACCAUUAAAUAGAUCACUUUUUACAUAGCAAUGACCGUUUCCCCAGGUCCUGUAGGUAAAUCCCUUGCAACCGGAAUCACUUCUACAAAGGUUCCAGCAAGCUUCCAGCGUAAAAUUCGGCUUGUAAUACAGAUCCGACCCAAAGUAAUCAGUCUGAGAAACCUCCAGGAAUUUUACUCCUAAAUUCAAGAGGGUUUGGUUGAACAUAGGCUUACAACCAGCAUUCCAGUCACUCGGAUCAUUUGCUGUAUACCCAGGAGUACAUAUACACUUGGGUUUCGGUGCAUAAACACAUAUCCCAUUAGUUCCACAUGCCCCAUGAACUUGACAAGGUUGUGAAAUUGCUUGCCAUGUAAUCAUCCAUAGCCCUGUUGAAUUAAUCAAACUAUAGAUUCUAAGAUUCCCAUCAGGAUCUAUAGUUAACCUUCUUUUUAUCCCAGAUCCCAUAUCAGAAGCACUGGCUUGAUAAUGAUCACUUGAAAAAAGCACGCCCAUAUCAUCUAAAACUGCAAAUCUGCUUCCAUUGUAGUUGGUUCUACCACUUGUAUAGAUGUCAGAAUCAGGAUUUGGCCAGUAGAGGCUAGAUAUUUGGGGGCUAUCAGAUAUCAACGAUAAAACAUUGUCACUACCAAAAUAUAAAUUGAAAUAACCUGAUUCCAAGCUUCCUUUUCUUAAGGAUGAUAUCAAUCUUUUGUCCUUCGUCAACAAUUGAGAAGGUAAAAGAGUAUCAGUAGGAACAUCAAAACUUUCCCAGAGAAUAUCGCCUUGUCGAUUCUUCAAAACGAGGUUGCCUGUAUUUAGAAGCUCAGCCGCAGCAACAUCAGUAUUGGUUGUAUUUGUCUGCCACUUAAUCCUGCCAUCAACAUCUGUCAAGACCAUGGUUCCAUCUCCCCUUAGAGAUACUCUUGAGCCCUGGCCGUUGACUGGCAUGUCCCGGUGGGCUGUCCAAACAACAGUUUUGUCUUUGGAAUUGGUGAACCAAAUUGCAAACCAAUAAGCGUUGCUUCCCAUUCCAGAAAAGCCACAGGUAAAUGUAUUAUCUGGUGAGGUGAUGAAAUCAUCGCCUUCGACAGAUAUAGAAUCACCCCUUCUCAAAUGAAGCAGAGACUUCGAAUUUGCAGAACGAGAAAAGGACAAAACGAUUAGUAAAAAGAGGAGAAUACAGAGACUGUUGUCUUUGGUAGCUAUCCUGUUGUUAAAGAAGGAAAUCUUACAAAGCAAUUUGAGAGUCUGGCUUCUCAUUUUGGAACGCAUUAUGCUUAUACCAAGAAAAUGGAAUGUGUAAUCAUUGAAGUAAACUUUAUAGAUAAGAAUGAGUGUAUUUAUUAGAAGAGUUUCAGGAUAUGGACAGAAGGAGCAAAUUUCCAGGUUUAUUAAUGCAAAUAUCACAAGCCAGGUCUGUUUACACAACAUUGAAAAUCCUCCACGUUAUUAAUCUAUUUUAAAAUUAUAAUAUGGGUAAAAAUCUAAAAAUAAAAAUUAGCCGUAGUUAUCUUGUUAACUUCAUUGUCAACGACCGCAGGUGCACGGAGGACAUUAAGAGACUAAAAUCAAUGGAUUAUGUCUGCGUGACACGAGAGAUGACUUCAGCAUUCUAUCCUCAAAAGAAAAACCAAAAGGAUAUUUUGUUUAAUUCUAUUCAAACAAAUUUAAAAGAGAAACCAAAUACCGUAUAAAUGUAGAAAGAAAGCAUAAAGUAAACGCGAUGAUGAAAGAAUUUGACAAGUAAUUCACAGUCUUGAUCUAUAAAUAGUAAUUUGUCUGAUAAAAUUCUAUUUUCUAUCUAGAAACAAAUAUCUUAUUAUUAUCUUUAAUCUUUCAAGUAAUUGCUGAACCAAAUUGCAAACCAAUAAGCGUUGCUACCCAUUCCAGAAAAGCCACAGGUAAAUGUAUUAUCUGGUGAGGUGAUGAAAUCAUCGCCUUCGACAGAUAUAGAAUCACCCCUUCUCAAAUGAAGCAGAGACUUCGAAUUUGCAGAACGAGAAAAGGACAAAACGAUUAGUAAAAAGAGGAGAAUACAGAGACUGUUGUCUUUGGUAGCUAUCCUGUUGUUAAAGUAGGAAAUCUUACAAAGCAAUUUGAGAGUUUGGCUUCCCAUUUUGGAACGAAUUAUGCUUAUACCAAGAAAAUGGAAUGUGUAAGUAUUGCAAUAAACUUUAUAGAUAAGAAUGAGUGAAAUAUCAGACCUCAGAAGUGUAUUUAUUAAAAGAGUUUUAGGAUAUGGACAAAAGGGGCAAAUUUUCAGGUUUAUUAAUGCAAAUAUCACAAGCCAGGUCUGUUUACACAACAUUGAAAAUCCUCCACGUUAUUAAUCUAUUUUAAAAUUAUAAUAUGGGUAAAAAUCUAAAAAUAAAAAUUAGCCGUAGUUAUCUUGUUAACUUCAUUGUCAACGACCGCAGGUGCACGGAGGACAUUAAGAGACUAAAAAUAAUGGAUUACGUCUGGGUGACACGAGAGAUGACUUCAGCAUUCUACCCUCAAAAGAAAAACAAAAAGGAUAUUUUUUUAAUUCUAUUCAAACAAAUUUUAAAGAGAGAAACCAAAUACCGCAUAAAUGCAAAAAGAAAACAUAAAGUAAACGCGAUGAUGAAAGAUGUCAUUGUCUAAGACCCCACUGAAGUCAGUCACCGAGCUAUUCUCACGAGCUUAGAAGUACAUCAAUAUGGAAGAAACCAUGGCCCCAAAAAGAGAAGUUUCUUCAUUAGGAAGGUUGGAUCUGAAAAGGCCGCAUGAGUCCAGUUUGAGACAAGAUACACCUCGGGUCAAGCCAAGGCAGGACCCCUCCUCAACAUCCUUUACCCGUUUGAACACCUCGAGGUCCAACAUUCUGAUGGAGAUCAAGGAUUCAAGGAAACUGAAGUGGCCUCCCAGAUUGCGGUCUCCUCUGAUAUUCGUGACAGGAGUAAGUACUGUGAUUUCCAUAGAGAUCAUGGACAUACAACGGAAGACUGUUUGGCCUUGAAGCGGAAGAUUGAAGCUCUUAUAAAAAGGGGAUUUUUGGGCUCUUAUGUUAGCAAUGACAAGCGCCCGAGGAAUAAUCAGAAUGGAGACAAAGGCUCAGAGGGUCGAGGAAACAAGCAACCAACUACAGGUACUAUCAAUAUCAUUUUUGAAGGAAUGACCUCAGGGGGAGAUUCUAGCAACGGGCGUAAACAAUAUGCCAGGCAGCCUCCAAUCAUCUCAAGAUCAGAUCUUGGUUGUACAGAGGACAUCACUUUUGGAACUGAGGACUUGGAAGGCAUAACAUUCCCUCAUGAUGAUGCUCUAGUCAUAUCGGCCAUCAUCGCCAACUUUGAAGUCUAGAGAAUUCUGAUAGACAAUGGAAGUGUAGCUAUUGUAUUGUCUCAUGAAGCCUUUGUUCAAAUGGGGAUCUCAUCGGAGCAGCUCAAGCCAGUCAAAACACCCCUCCAAGGAUUUGGAGGUGGGGUCAUCACCCCAGAAGGUAUCGUCGGGUUGCCUUUAACAUUGGGGACAGAAGGUAAACAGGUGACACAGAUCACCACCUUUGAAGUUGUCCGUACUCCAAUGGCCUACAACGCCAUAUUGGGAAGACCAUUGCUCAACAGAAUUCGAGCUAUUGUCUCAACUUUUCACUUAGCAAUAAAAUUUCCUACAAGUAAUGGAAUCGGGGUAGUUCGAGGCAGCCAAACAGUGGUACAACAGUGUUAUGUGACUAGUGUUCGAAGAAUCAAGGGCUACGUCAUGCAAGUUACAGAGCUCGAGCUCGAGCACGAGAUCCAUGAGAGACUUGCUCCAGUGGAUGGAUUAGAAGAGGUCGACCUCGAGCCUGGCAAGAAAGUGACAAUCGAACGGGAGUUAGAUACAGUAGUCAUGACUGAAUUACUGAGUUCUCUCUCCUGCAACAUCGAUAUAUUCGCUUGGAAUGUUGAGGACAUGCCUGGAAUCAACCCACAGGUUGUGGUGCACAAACUUAAUGUAAAUCCGGAGGCAAGACCUAUAAAGCAAAGGAAAAGGAAAUUUGCACCAGAAAGAUGAGAAGUCAUAAAGGAGGAGAUUGCCAAACUUGUUAACGCACAGUUCAUUUGGGAAUUACAAUAUCCCAAUUGGCUUGCUAACGUUGUUCUUAUCAAGAAAGCUAAUGGGAAGUGGCGAGUUUGCAUUGACUUUACAUAUUUGAAUAAAGCAUGUCCCAAAGACAGUUAUCCUCUACCUUGAAUUGACAAUCUUGUGGAUAGCACGUCGGGUCAUAUGCUGUAUAGCUUCUUGGAUGGCUUUUCGGGGUAUCACCAAAUACUCAUGGUUGAAGAAGAUCAAGAAAAGACCUCAUUCAUGGUAGACUCAGCCAUCUAUUGUUACAGGGUCAUGCCCUUUGGACUGAAGAAUGCUGGAGCAACGAAUCAAAGGUUGGUAAACAAGAUCUUCGUCGAGUUAAUCGGAAAAAUGGUCGAAGCAUAUGUGGAUAAUAUGGUGGUUAAGAGCAAACAGGUGAAUGGCCAUGUCUCUGAUCUUAAGGAAGUGUUUGCCAAGUUACGGAGAUACAACAUGAAGCUCAACCCUGCAAAGUGUGUGUUUGGGAUGGCAUCUAGAAAGUUCUUUGGUUUUAUGAUCACAUACAGAGGAAUAGAGGAAAAUCCUAAUAAGAUCGAAGCCCUGAUAAAGAUGGAGGCCCCUAAAUGCAAAAAGAACAUUCAGAAGUUGACUGGUCGCAUAGCGGCACUGAACAAGUUUGUUUCUCGGGCAGCUGACAGUUGUUUUCCCUUUUUCAAACUACUUAGGGAAAAUCAAAGCUUUAACUGGAAUGAGAAAUGCAACUUAGCUUUUCAGGAGUUUAAGCAGACGUUAUCAACACCUCCAGUCCUUACCAAACCCAAACUCGGUGAAACGUUACUAUUAUACUUGGCCAUUUCUCAGAAUGUAAUAAGCGGGGUCUUGGUGAAGGAGAAAGGAAGAGUUCAGCAAACUAUCUAUCAUGUAAGUAAAGUACUCCUUGAUGCAGAGACACAAUACACACUUGCAGAACAGCUCGUCCUCACUUUGGUAAUAGCUACCAAAAAAUUACGACCGUACUUUCAGUCACAUCCAAUUGUUGUGCUCACUAACCAACCUCUUAGACACAUACUCCAGAAUCCGAACAUCUCAGGAAAACUGUUGAAAUGGACAAUUGAACUUGAGAAAUUUGAUAUAGAGUUCAAACAACGACUUGCAAUCAAAGCUCAAGCUUUGGCUAACUCCAUAGUAGAGCUCACUCCGAGGCACCCGAAAACACAGGUUAAAAGCCCUAGCAUGACCUUGAAAAUAUGGGAGAUCUUUAUAGAUAGAACAUCCAAUAGCUCAAGCUCGGGGGUCGACGUCAUCAUCACAAGCCUAGAUAAGGCUACAAAAAUACAAUGUGCGCUCAGAUUUGAAUUUGAGGCCACCAACAACGAAUCAGAGUAUGAAGCCGUUAUCAUAGCCCUGGAACUUGCGAAAAGUCUUGAGUUGGAGGAUGUCAAAGUUUUCAGUAACUCACAGCUAAUGGUUGGGCAAAUCGAGGGGUCUUUCAAAAGAAAGAACGAAAAGAUGAGCUUAUAUUGUCUAAAAGUGCAUGACCUUCAAAGGCAGUUUGUAAGUUGUGAAAUCCAGAAGUUGGCCAGAGCUGAUAACGUGAAAACUGAUGCAUUAUCUAGACUCGUCUUUAUGGGUGUGGACGGGCUCAAUAGAACCGUGCAAGUCAAGAUAGUUACAGAACCUAGCAUAGCACAAAAGCCAAGUAUCAUAGACAUCAAUCGUGAGCCCUUCUGGAUGGAUCCAAUAGUUGAUUACAUAAGUAAUGGCAACCUACCUACAGACCCUCGACUUGCUAGAAGCAUUCGGUAUAGAGCUGCAAGGUAUUGCCUAAUAGAAGGAGUCCUAUUUGGCAGAAGUUUUACGCUCCCUCAUCUAAGAUGUCUCAAAUCGUCCAAGUCUUUGCAAGCCUUGACUGAAGUUUAUGAAGGCAUUUGCGAAAAUCACCAAUGAGCCCGAGCUCUUGCCUAUAAGUUAAUAAGGUAUAGGUACUACUGCCCAAGUUUGAAGAAAGAUGCUGCAAAUUAUGUUCAAAAAUAUGACACGUGCCAAAAGUUUGGCAACAUCAUACAUGCUCCUGUAGAGAAGCUAACUUCUAUUCAUUACUCAGCUCCUUUCGAACAAUGAAGAGUCGACAUUCUUGGGCCAUUCCCCUUGGCCAGAGGAUAAUUAAAGUUUGUAGUUGUCGCAGUGACGAAUUUCAUAAAGUGGUAGAGGCUGAACCACUAGCAACAAUUUCGGAGCCGAAGCUCAGAUCAUUCAUAUGGAAGUCCGUCAUAUGUAGGUUUGGAAUACCAAAAGUCCUCAUCACAGACAACAAAAGGCAAUUCGACAAUCCACAGUUCAGGAGCUUCUGCGCUAACCAUGGGAUUGAUCAUCGCUUGACCUCGAUAUCACACCCACAAACUAAUGGGCUUGCCGAAGUAACCAAUCAGAUCAUAUUGCAAGAUCUUCGAACAAGAAUAGAAGAUGCCAAAGGAGACUGGCCUGAACUGCCUUCUAUACUUUGGACACACAAAACUUUGCACAAGACAUCAACUGGUGAGAUGCCUUUCAUGCUCGCCUUCAGACUUGAGGCUACCAUCCCAAUCGAGGUCAGCCUCCCCACAAUAAGGAAUCUCGAGAUGAAUAAGGAGAGACAAACUACUGAGCACCUUGACUUACUUGAAGAGGUAAGAGAGCAAACCUCACUUAGUGCUGCAAGUUAUUAGAACAGAACGGCGAAGCACUUCAACAACAAGGUCCAGAUGAGAAGGUUCAGAGUUAGCAAUCUUGUCCUUAGAAAAGCAGAAGUUGCCAGGCACCAACCGGGAAAGCUCGGACCAACAUGAGAAGGCCCCUUCGAGGUCAUCAGAAAAUUAAAAGGUGGAGCCUACAGCCUUAGAGACACAUCGGAGAAGCCGCUCCCCAGGCCAUGGAACACCGAUAAUCUGAAAAUUUAUUACAGGUAACUAGCUAUAGCUAUAAUUUUUCCUUUAAAGGCUUGCAUGCCCACUUUACAUUUGCUUUAUUUUAUUUUUCGGGCUCUAAUGCCCUAACAGCUCAUGCUCCAAUAAGCUCGGGUAUCAACGCCCUUAAGCCCUUUUUAAUGAUACACAAAAAAUUCUUUACGAUGUUGCUUCCCUAUUAACAAAAUUAACAUAAGGUCGUGCUCUGCGCAUUCAGCUAAUACCUUAACCAAAUUAGCAUAAGACCGUGUUCCGCGCAUGCAACUAAUACAUUAACAAAAUUAGCAUAAGGCUGUGCUCCGCACAUGCAGCUAAUACCUUAACCAAAAUAACAUAAGGCCGUGCUCCGCACAUGCAGCUGACACUCGACCAAUAGAACCAAACACACGACCUCAAAUGGCAACAGGUCAAGCAUAACAGGCCCGACCUACUCAAUCCCAAAUUGUCCUCCCAACAAACAAUUUCGAGAUCGAGAUCGGGGCAUGAAAUAUGUUUACCAUAUGUGACCACGCCCGAUCUUAUCCACAAAGGAAAAAAGAUGUUAAAUUACAAGGGGCGAGCUCGACCUUUUCCUUUAAAUCAUCAGUGACCCAUUGGUCCCCCCUCGAUGUAGCAUAUUGAAAAAUCAAUACCAACACUAGUACUCUUACUAUCCCAAACAUAACAAUACUAUACCCUCGAACUCUUUACACACACUCGGGCUAUGGACGCCAACAUUCGAGCUAAUUGGUUGCGACAUGCGAUCUAUACUAACGAUCAAACUUUUAACAAUUAUAACAACUCGAAUUCAAAGUCAGAAUGUUCACACACGAACGUAAAAUCCACGCACGAUCUCAUAGUAAAAAUAAAAUGCAUGAACUGAUAACAAAAAGCCCCUCAAAGAUCAAGCCCAGAUCGGGCAACAUACUUUGCAUUCAAAAAUAAAAAAUUCAUGAGCCCAGAUUGGGAAAUGUACAAUAUUGAUCAAAUAAGAUAACAGAAAAAGUUUGAUGUCGAUCCUAAUCAAUAUCAACAGGAGUGUUGUCGCCACCCUAAUCAGGGGUCCCAGCAUUAUCCCCUCCAUCACCGCCAUCUUCAUCAUCGACCUCUGAGGCAGAGAGCUCAAGGUCUUUGGCUAGUUCAUUUACUGUUCACAACUCCUCAACCACAGGCUUCAAAUCCUCGAGGAGUUUGGUUCGAAGAAAAGAACGAGUCAUCGUAAACCAUAAUGAUAUGACCCAUCCCCGUACUGACCAAGAAGGGUCUUGAACUUGUUAGACUGUUUGAAAUCCUCAAUAGCCUGAGCUCGAGCCUCUUCUCGGGCCCUCACCAGUUUAUUUUUAAAAGUAUUUUGGCAUUGAAUGAGCUCAAGCUUUGCCUCAUCUUUGGCAAUCCUGAUCUCAUCUCGAGCUCUCUUAAGCUCAGCAGAAGCCAUUCCUAGGGCCUUCUCAAGGUCGAGGGCCCCAGAAGAGGCUCGAGCUUAGGCUGUUGAGGAUUUCAAACAGUCCAACGAGUUCAAGACCCUUCUUGGUCAGUACGGGGCUGGGUCAUAUCAUUACGGCUUACGACUGGCUCGUUCUUUUCUUAGGACCAAACUCUCCGAGGAUUUGAAGCCUGCGGUCGAGGAGAUGCGAACAGUCAAUGAACUAGCCAAGGACCUCGAGCUUUCUGCCUCAGAGGUCGAUGAUGAAGAUGGCGGUGAUGGAGAAGAUGAUGCUGGGACCCCUAAUCAGGGUGGCAACAACACGCCUAUUGAUAUUGAUUAAGACCGACAUCGAAAUUUUUCUGUUAUCUUAUUUGAUCGAUAUUGUACAUUGCCCAACUGGGCUCAUGAAUUUUUUAUUUUUAAAUGCAAAGUAUGUUGCCCGAUCUGGGCUUGAUUUUUGAGAGGCUUUUUGUUAUCAGUUCAUGCAUUUUAUUUUUACUAUGAGAUCAUGCAUGGAUUUUACGUUCAUGUGUGAACAUUCUGACUUUGAAUUCAAGCUGUUAUAAUUGUUAAGAGUUCGAUCGUUAGUAUAGAUCGCAUGUCUCAACCAAUUAGCUCGAAUGUUGGCGUCCAUAGCCCGAGUGUGUGUUAAGAGUUUGAGGGUAUAGUAUUGUUAUGGUUGGGGUUAACAAGUUCAAGUACUAGUGUUGGGUAUUGAUUUUUCAAUUUGCUACAUCGAGGGGGGGACCAAUGGGUCGUUGAUGAUUUAAAGGAUAAGGUUGGGCUUGUCCCUUGUAAUUAAACAUCUUAUUUCCUUUGUGGAUAAGAUCGAGCGUGGGCUCUCUUAUGCGCAGCCUCAUUUUUUACCUCGAGCUCGGCUAUUUUAUCCAAGGUAUUCAGCCCCUUUAGCCCCGAACCUUGAGCUACGCUUAAAGUCUGCAAAAACAAGUAUCACACCCGACGUUAGGAUGAAACAAAAACUUUGAAAAGAAGACAAAAGUGACCAUAUCAAAAACAGACCUUCAAAGUAAGAAGCUCGAGGGUUCGAAUCCCCUCAUGGGAAUCAACGUCUUUCUCGUACUUAUCAACUAUGCUCUGGAUAAGAGCACAGUCAGCAUACUCCUUGAGCAACUUCGUGGGCAUAGGGUCAUCAUCAUCGGCUAGAAGGUUUGGCCCAAAGCAACGAGUGCGAACUCGAUCUGGCUUCUGUGGCAUUGGCUGAUUGGGAGAGGUCAGGGUUCUGGAGCUCUGACCCUGACCCAUAGGGGUAGGAUGCACGACCUCCCUUACCCGCUUCUUCCCCUUGGAUUAGGUCAAGGUCGAGGCCUUGGACUUCAGUCUUUUUGCCUUGUGAUGAACAUUAUCAAGAAGUGCGGAUGGAUCAAACGACAUCUCCAAAUCUGUAAAAAUAAGAUAAGGGAUUAGUCCGACCUGAAGGUCGUGAAUACCUAUACGAUAAGAGAAAGAUGAAAGAUCAUACCAUCGAGGCCUUUCACAUUGGCAAGGUCGAAGGUGUCGUCCUUGAGCAACCAAUCAAUAUUUUCCGCCAAAGGAUCAUGAUUAACUAACCUAACCUAUCCCGCUCUAGAACCUCGAAGUACGCCUGCCCUUCGUUGAACCUAUCCUUGUUAGGUACCUCCCACUUCGGGCUAAAAGGGUAGUUAGGGUCCUGGGGUUUUACGAAAAAGAAGUGUUCUUUCCAACCCCUGUGAGAGCUCAGGGUCUCAGGAGUUCUAAACCCCCUUGGUGGAUAAAUAGACAAAAUAAUUAUAGCUGGGGAGAAUUUCAUGUCAAAAACCAUUCGUAGUAGGUUAAGUCUAGGCUCAACCUUGAGAUAUCUACACAGUAUAAAGAAAUAAACUAACAUCGAGUUGGCCCAGGUAUAGGUAGUACGAGAUCAGAAAAUGGAUGAAGAACGGGUGAAGGGGCCACCUGAGCCCAACCUUAAGAGCGUCACUGAAAAAGGUUAUUUCUCCUUCUCGAGCUCCUAACACAUUCUCAGUUGGCCCUGGGGCUCUAAUGUCACAAAUAGGCAUGACCCUGAAUUCUCUAGCUAUUUUAAUAACCACAUGCUCUUUGUACUUGGUCGGUUCUUUGGGGUAUAUCAGGUCGUCAGUGUGGGAAUUAAUAGGGAUGGCCAUAGGUAUAAUAGAAGUACAUAAGUCUUGAGGCCUAUCACUAUGGUUCGAGUCUUUACGCUCCUGGCUACUGUCACUGCUACUAGACCCCGUACUACCACUACGCGACAUUAUACUACAAUCAAAUAAAAUAACUUAAAGGCUCGAACUCUUACCUCUGUGGAUGGUUGCUCACAAACCCACUAAUCCCCGAACUUGAGCUCGAUUUACUGAUAGGAGAGUGAAAAGUGAAAAAUAGGGGGUGAAAGUUGGGGUAUUUAUAGGAGACUAUGGAAUACCAAUGGUCAUGCAAUCUCAACCCUUGGACCCAAACACGUGGCGGGCAUCCAACCUCGUGCUCUGACGUUACACGUGGCGGCCAUCUAAGGUCAUUCUCUGACAUCCCAUCGAACGGUUGACACGUGGAAAGACACCUGGACAUUUAUGCCUCUACAUCUUCGCUCGUAGAUUAAACUUGGACGUAAAUCUAUGACCUCGAUGCACGGGGGCCUGUGAUGAUCCCAGAUCUUAUCAAUCUCGAACUCGAUCUAUGAACCCCAAACACUUCUCAUGAACCCCAAUCUUAAUAUCCCCUAAAACUACCAAAACAAGGACGGGCAUAUGAGGUCGGGUCUAUAUGUCAAUUUGCCAGUCCUUCUUAACGACCUAUGAGUGCACUAAUUCUAGUUAAGCCACAAUCCUUACCCUAUUUGACUCCUUCUUAGACUCAAACAAUGGUUGAACACUUGGAAUGAAACACUAACUCCUUAUCCUACGAGGAUAAAGACCACACAUGGGUAAGUCCUUAUAGGACUCUAUCAUCAACACCUAUAAAUACAUAACUUGGGCUCAUUCUUGAGGUAAAAUUUUCAUUAUCUCCAGUUUAUAGCCUCACGCACUAAAUUCCCUAUCUGACUUAAACAUCGGAGGGGCGACGAGCAGACACCUCAUUAUCUUUGUUUCAAGUAUUCGAAGACUGUUCGUGUUCAUCCAAGCUCGAAGUUCGAUCAUCAAGCUCGAGAUUAUUUAGGUACUAUUUUUUGAUAGCAUCAGGAACUAAAGCAGUUGCGAAGUGUUUUGUGGAAUCUAAUUAUUGUCGCUACGUGGAGUCAUACAAAUUCAUCAUUAGGAUUUAUUUUAUCACCAUCAAAAGCGAAAGAUGUUACAAAAAAAUAGGGUGCCCAAUUUUUCAUUGUAAUUUUCUUUUUUAUCAUAGUGAACUACUGCAUCAAUGGUGAAUAACGUAGUCUUAAUCUUAUAUUAAGGCAGAUAUCCAUUAAUCCUGCAUAUUCUUUUGUAUAUUUAUUUUUUUGCUUAUAUAAUUUGAGUUUCUAGAUGCAAAACGGCCCAAUGUAGAUAGAGUAACACGCAAGAUAACGAUUCAUAUAUCCGAGCAAAGGGACCAUUUCAACUCCGAGGGGUCCCACUAUCAAGUACGCGGUUGUCGUUUGCUAGUGGGAGUGAGCUAGUGUCAAACUAGCCCAUGACCUUUCCAAAGAGCCUCUACAAAUAAAUACCUUCUCCUCCAAAGAGAGACGACAACUCACACAACUUUCUCUUUGUAGAGUAAGUUGCACGCGUCAUAUUCACAUCACAAAAAAAUCCUAACCCAUCAUUCACCUGAAAUCAAUAUCUCCAUAAACAUCUUCAUUCACCACCAGAAAAAAAUCUCAGCCAGUAGGUUAUAUCUUACCGUUUUUCUUCGUUUUCAAUUGUCUCCCUUGUUUCAAUUUCUAAUGCGAAACGAUUAAGAGCUUGUUUGAGCCCCUUUAGUUUUGAAAAAUGUAUUAUGAAAUAAUAGAUUGAUUGAGAAUGUGUGGUUAAAAGAGAAGAAAAGUUUUUAGUUUACAUGUAAUAUUAUUUUAAUUAAAGAAUGUAUGGUUAAAAAUAAAUAUUGCAGAAAAAAAUAAUGUAAUAAAAUAUAAAAUAAUGAGUGACAAAUAGGGGCUAAAUGACAAAUAUCUUAGGUAUAAUUUAGGUUUGACCAUCUACCAUUUUUUAAUAAUUAUCUUAGUAGUCUUCUGACUCUUAAUCAUUUAGAUCAUCUCCAAUCCCGUAUUAAAAUUUACAUCAUUUUGCACCAAAUCUUGCACCAAGCUAAAAAUCAUUUUCAACCCAUUACAUCAAAAGUUGCAUCAAAUGAAUAGUGUUCAAUCAUUUUCUUCAUUUUUUUUCCUUAACAAUUUAUAUAGCUGAAAAGUUAUUUAUUUAUUUAAUUUACUACUACAUAAAUCACUACAUGCACAAUUACGUUUCAUUUACAAAAAUAUUGAAUUAUUUAAUAAAUUUUUAAAAUGUAGUACAAUUAAUAAAAACACCACAACUAAGGAAAUAUUAAAUCAUGUUAUUAAAAACAACAUAGUACAUUUUGAAUCUCGAAAUUAUGAUACGACAAAAUCGACCUAGUGUCGUAAUUUAAUUAUCGAAAUUCAUAUAUUCAUCCACAAAUGUUUUGUUUUAUGUAUCAUUGAGUGACGUAUGUAUGUGGCUACUGAUGUAGUUUCAUUUUAAUUUUAAGUAAUUGUGUUUGUUGCAUUUUAAAAUUUUUUGAGUACUUUGAUUUUAAUUUAUUCCUCGAUUAUUAUUGAUUACACGAUUAAAGUUUAUUACAAAAUAAUAAUAAUAAUAAUAAUAAUAAUAAUAAUAAUAAUAAUAAUAAUAAUAAUAAAUUAAGAAUUAAAAUUUAUGUAUAAUGUGAAAUGAUAGAAAUAUCCUUGAUUUUAUUUGGUGAUAAAUGAAAAAAAUGACAAAAAAAUGACUUUUACCAAAUUUGGUGGAAGUUAAUAGUGUUGUACCAUUUUGCACCAAAUUGGUGCAAAAUUUGGUGUUACGUUGGAGUGGCAUUGCACCAAAUAUUUUGUACAAAAUGAUGAAAAAUGGUGAUUUGGUGUUAUGGUUGGAAUUUCUCUUAACCUCGUUAUGCAUUCACGAACACAUUUAUUUUGGUCAACAAAAACUUAUCGCGGCAUAAUUGGUUUAUAAAGUCUAACUUUGACCAUCUAGCAUUCUAGCUAACAAAUAUGAGAUUGAAAUGAAGAAAGAUAUUUAAAAAGAAACCCGAAUAGGCUAAUCCAUUUGUAUCAAUUUCCAGUAUACACUUAUUGAAGAUCGGAGUAAAUUAAGUUAAAAAAUGGUUAAAGAUCAUUUUCGCAAAUUUUUAUAUAGUUUUUGUUCAUUGAAAAAGAAAAAGGCAUAAAUGUUUUAAAGUGUUGUAAAAGGAAAGAUUAUUAGGGUUUAGAGGUGAGUGACAAUUACACCCCUGCAACCCUAGAAAUAAUUACUUUUGUAUCUUUAAUUCUGCCAUAUAAAUAUAGGGCUUUGAUUCAUUAUAAAACACCCAAGUCUAUUGACUUCUCUAUAUUUUCUUCUAUUUUCUUCACUUUUAUGACACAUUAUCAACACAAUAGCUUAAUUUUUCAAAGUUUAGUGAAAGUAAUAAUUUUUAUAGUUAUGAAUAUUUAUAACGUGUAUCAAAAUUAAUUUGGUAGCAUGUGAAUUCUAUUUAUACAUACGCAUUAACUUGUGCUUCAUCCAAUUCAAAUCUAAUAUGUGUUUCAUGGUACCAAUCAUAAAUUGGAGGCUCUUUUGUCCACUACAAUUGCAUUAAUUUCUACCUCUUAAUUUUACUUCUUGAUUAUGUGGCAGUCAAUUGCAUGGAUUUCUGUAAAUCCAUUUAUUUAAAUCAUAUAUAAGCGUUGCAAUCAUUAGAUACAUAAGAAUUUGUCUUUAAUCCAUGUUUUUAUGAGUGGCACAACCUCUUGUUUUCAAUUUUCGAAUAUGAGUUUGAGUCAAUUUAGGUUAAUUUGCGCAGUAACAAUUUGAACUUUGCUUUAAUUCAUGUAUAUGAAUUAUUAAAUAUUAUUUGUGUAACACGUGUAGCAUUAGAUGUAUUAAUUUAUGCAAUUCUUUCUUUAAUUUUUUUAUGGAUGUAAAAUAUAUGUUUAUGGUGAAGGAUAAAUUUAAACCAUAUCUUUUCAAGAUUUUUUUUUUUUUGUAAUACAUGUUUGGUAAUUAAUUGUAAAAUAUAAAUUCAUAGCCAAUCUAUUUGGUAAUUAUUUUUUUAUUUGUAUGGUAAUUAAUAUUCUUUAACUUGAUUAAAUAUUUGUGUUGUUCUAUCAUAAAUUUUAAAUUAAUAUUCUAUCAUGUUGUUGCUCCUGAAGUAGCACGACAUCAUAGUUAAUAUUCUACAAGAGUAUUAAUCGAAGAUCUAUCUAUUAUAAAUAGUUUGUUGAUAUUCCUGAAGUAGCACAAUAUUAUAAUUAAUAUUCUUGAAAAAUAUUAUUUGCUCCUGAAGAGUAUAAAUUAUAAUUUUUGAUAUUCCAGAAGAAUAUUGACGUAUUCAUUUUGAAGAAAUAAUAAUAAAAUAUAGCGUACUCAUGAAGUAGCAUAUGCUUCGAAGAAUAUAUUAUUUUCGUGUUUAUCCCUGAAGGAAAACACGUAACUUAUAUCAUGUUAAUAUUGAUUACUUGAUUAAUUAUUAUAUGAAGUUUAAUCAUAUUUUUCGAAACUAAUUAUAUUUUCUUUUACUUUAUUGUGCAGUUAAUCAAAUGGCAAAUAUCACAAAACUUGAAUUUGCUGCACUCGACAUCUCUGGCAAAAAUUAUUUAUCAUAGGUACUUGAUAUAGAUAUCCAUCUUGUCUCAAAAGGUUUGGGAGAGACGAUAAAAGAAGGAAAUGAAGAAUCCCUGUAGGAUUACGCAAAAGCACUCAUCUUCCUUCAUCAUUAUCUUCACGAUGGACUAAAAAUUGAAUAUCUUACUGAGAAAGAUCCACAGGUUCUUUGAAAAAAAUUAACUAAAAGAUUUGAUCAUCAAAUGACUAUAGACCUCCCCAAAGCCUGUUAUAAGUGGAUGCACCUUCGUUUGUAAGACUUCAAAACUGUUAGCAAGUACAAUUUUAAAUUGUUCAUAAUAUGUUCAAAAUUAACAUUGUGUGGAGAAAAAAUCAUUGAUGAAGAUAUGUUGAAGAAAUUUUUUUCCGUCUUUCACGCUUCGAAUGUGCUCCUGCAGCAGCAAUAUCGCGAACGUGAUUUCAAGAAGUACUCAGAACUUAUGUCUUGCCUACUUGUUGCUGAACAUAAUAAUGAACUGCUGAUAAAAAAUCAUGGGUUACGUCCAACUAGUUCUGUAUCAUUGCCUGAAACAAAUGGUACUGCAUUGCCUGAAGCAAAUGCAAUAUCAAGACAAGAACACGGACGUGGACGUGGAUUUGGACAUGGACGUAGACGUGCACGCGGAGUAAACCAUGAAUGAAAUAAUCAACAAAAAGGCAACAAUUUCAAAAGGUACAAAGUAAACAAAAGUAGUACACCUAAAAAGGUACAUGAAAAAAGUUAUUUUAGAUGUGGAAUAAAAGGGCAUUGGACACGUACCUGUCGUACGACAAAACACCUUGUGGAUCUCUACCAAAAAUCAAUUAAGGGAAAGGAAAAAGUGGAGACAAAUUUUGCUGACUAUAAUGGUCCAAUUGAUGUGACUCAUUUGGAUGUCUCCGAUUUCUUUGCUGAUCCAAAUGAAAAUAUUGACCAUUUGAUUGGGGUUGGUGUGAUGGAAGAUAUAGAUUUAUUUUAUUUUAUUUUUUAUGUUUCUAGUAUUUCCCUUUAUUUUAGAAAUUUAGUUUGAAAUAUGUUUUUACUUUUCACAAAAUUUUUGAACUUUAUUACCAAUUUUUAAUUUCACAAGAUUAAUUAUGCUUAUCAUUUUGAAUUUAAAUUCAAAUUUUUUAAAUUAUUUCUAUUUUUUUAUAUUGAUAGAUUCAUGAUGGAUCGCCAAGACACGUGCUUGAUUGAUAAUGCAACUGCACAUACUAUUCUUCAAGACAAAAAAAUAUUUUUUAGACUUAACAUUAAAAGAGAAUAAUGUCAAUACAAUAUCAGGUGCAUUGAAUAUCGUUGAAGGCUCCGAAAGAGCUUGUAUUAUUUUACCAAAUAAUACAAAAUCAUAUAUUAACGAUGCAUUUUAUUCUAGCAAAUCCAAAAGAAAUUUGCUUAGUUUUAAAGAUAUCCGUUGUAAUGGAUAUCAUAUUGAGAUGACACAAGAAAAUAAUAUCGAAUAUCUUUGUAUAACUUCUUUUGUAUUUGGUCAGAAGCAGAAAAAAGGAAAAUUUCAUGCACUCCUAUCUGAUAUGUAUUAUACAUUUAUAAAAAUGGUUGAAUCAAAUAAUGUCACGAACCAGAAGUUCGUUGACCCAAAAAGUUUUAUACUUUGACAUGAUCGACUUGGACAUCCAGGAGCUAUAAUGAUGUGUCGAAUAAUAAACAACUCACAUGGAUAUCCUUUAAAAAAUCAAAAGAUUCUUUUUACCUAAUUUUUAUCCAUGUGCAGCUUGUUCGCAAGGCAAGUUAGUCAUUAGACCUUCAAUUACAAAGGUCAAUAUUGAAUCUCCAACUUUCUUGGAAAGAAUUCAUGGAGAUAUAUGUGGGUCAAUACACCCACCAUGUGGACCAUUUCGUUAUUUUAUGAUAUUAAUUGAUUCUUUCACUAGAUGGUCACAUGUUUGCCUACUUUCUACUAGGAAUGUAGUAUUUGCUAGACUACUUGCUCAAGUUAUAAAAUUACAAGCACAAUUUCCCGAUUACUCAAUUAAAACUAUUCGCCUUGACAAUGCUAAUGAAUUUAGAUCACAAGUAUUCGAUGAUUAUUAUAUGUCAAUCGGGAUUGUUAUUGAUCAUUCAGUUGCGCAUGUCCAUACACAAAAUGGUUUGGCAAAGUCGUUUGUUAAACGUCUACAACUUAUUGCUAGAUCGUUACUUAUGAAAACAAAACUCCCAGCUACUGUUUGGGGUCAUUGCAUACCACAUGUGCAUCAUUGGUUCGUAUUAGACCAGCUACCUAUUAUUAAUAUUCACAUUUGCAACUGACAUUUGGUUAUGAACCUGAUAUUUCUCACCCACGGGUCUUUGGUUGUGCUAUCAAAGUUCCUAUUUCACCCCCACAAUGUACUAAAAUGGGUCUCCAACGAAGAUUUGAAAUUUAUGUGGGUUUUGAUUCACCAUCAAUUAUUAGGUAUCUUGAACCUUUAAUGGGUGAUUUAUUUACUGCAUGUUUUACAGAUUGUCAUUUUAAUGAAAUGACUUUCCCAACUUUGGGAGGGAAAAAAUUACAUCCUGAAAAACAAAGUAAAAUUUCUUGGAAUGAAACAACUCUAUCUCAUUUUGAUCCCCGUAGCAAUCAAUGUGAGCAAGAGGUUGAAAAAAUCAUUCAUUUGCAAAGAGUUGUAAAUUAAUUACCUGAUGUAUUUGUUGACACAAGAAAAGUGACGAAGUCAUAUGUUUCAGCAGAAAAUAUUCUAGCAAAAAUUAAUGUCCCGGUAGGACAAUCUGCUGUAGAAAAAGAAAAAGUACAUAAGAAAAACCAACCAAAAAUUUCGGAAGAAGUUAUAUUAAAAAAGAUUGAUCAAUCAUAUAUUAGAAAUACGAUUCCUGAAGAACCACAAGUAUCCGAAAAUAAUGAGAUUUUAAUAAAUUAUAUGUUAUCUCAUAAAUUAUGGGAACGAAAUAAUGUUGUUAUAGACCAUAUUUUCGCCUUUAAUGUGGCUCUUGAUAUUAUACAAAAUGAGGAUCCUGAACCACGGCCGAUUAAAGACUGUUAAAAUAGAAAUGAUUGGCCAAAAUGGAAAGAAGCCAUAUAGGCGGAAUUGAAUUCUUUAGAGAAACGAAAAGUGUUUGGACCUGUAGUUCGAACACUUGAAAAUAUAAUCCCUGUUGGAUACAAACGAGUGUUUGUACGAAAGAGAAAUGAAAAUAAUGAAAUCACAAGGUACGAAGCCCAACUAGUAGUUCAAGGUUUCUUACAAAGACCAGGAAUUGAUUAUGAGGAAACAUAUUUUCCCGUAAUGAGCACCAUCACUUUUAGAUUCUUAAUUAGUUUGACUGUAUCACAAAAGCUUGAUAUGCACCUUAUGGAUGUAGUAACUUCAUAUUUGUAUGGUUCACUUGAUAGUGACAUAUAUAUGAAAGUUUCGGAAGGACUUAAGAUACCAGGACCAAACGAUACAUGCUCAAGAACUAUGUUCUCAAUUAAAUUACAAAGAUCAAUAUAUGGAUUAAAACAAUUCGGACGCAUGUGGUAUAAUCCUUUAGCGAAUAUUUGUUGGAUGAGGGUUAUAAAACUAACGAUGUCUGUCCAUGUGUUUUCAUAAAGAAAACAAAUAGUGAAUUUGCAAUUGUGGCAGUUUAUGUUGAUGAUUUAAAUUUAAUUGGAACUUUUGAAGAACUUAACAAAAUUGCUGAUUAUUUGAAAAAUGAAUUUGAGAUGAAGGAUUUGGGAAAAACCAAAUUUUGUCUUGGAUUGCAAAUUGAACAUUUAGCAGAUGGAUUAUUUGUUCACCAAUCUACGUAUACAGAAAAAUUUUAAAACGUUUUUACAUGGAUAAUGUACAUCCAUUGGCAUCACCUAUAGUUGUUCGAUCACUUGAUGUGAAAAAAGAUCCAUUUCGCCUACUUCAAGAUGGAGAAAAAGUUCUUGGUCCUGAAAUAUCAUAUCUUAGUGCAAUUGGAGCAUUAACUUAUCUUGCAAAUUGAACUCGACCAGACAUAGUUUUUUCUGUAAAUCUCCUUGCAAAAUAUACACCAACUCAAAGACAUUGGAAUGGUGUUAAACAUAUUUUUCGUUACCUAAAAGGUACUAUUAAUUUGAGAUUAUUUUAUUCUCAAAAGUUAGGAUCUGCUUUAGUGGGAUAGGCAGAUGCAGGUUAUUUAUGUGAUCCACAUAAAGCUAAAUCACAAACAGAUUAUGUGUUUACACAUGGAGGAACGACUGUAUCAUGGAGAUCUAUGUAGCAAUCCUUAACGGCUACAUCUUCAAAUCAUUCUGAAAUUAUUGCAAUCUAUGAAACAGGCCGGAAAUGUGUAUAGUUGAGAAACAUGACCCAUCAUAUCCAAGCAUCAUGCGGAUUAAUUUCAACAAAGGAUAGUUCAACAAUUUUGUAUGAAGACAAUGCAGCUUGUAUAGCACAACUCAGAGGAGGCUAUAUCAAAGGUGAUAGGACGAAGCAUAUUUCUCCAAAAUUCUUUCAUACAUAUGAGCUUCAAAAGAAUGGCGAUAUCGAUAUCCAACAAAUUCGCUCAAGUGACAAUGUGGUCGAUUUAUUCACAAAAGCAUUGCCAAUAUCUUUAUUCAAGAAAUUAGUUCAUGAGAUUGGAAUGCGUCAACUCAAAGAUUUUCGGGGGAGUAGUUGUACUAUUUUUCCUUAGCUUAGGUUUGUCCCACUGGAUUUUUCUAGGAAGGUUUUAAUGAGGCAGCAUUCAUUUUUAGUACUCCAAAAUAAUUGUACUCUUUUUCUUUCGUUUGAUUUUUUUCCCAUUGAAUUUUUAUCAAACAAGAUUUUAACGAGACAAAUAUUUAAUAAUGUGUCAUUCAAGGGGAGUGUUGUAAAAGGAAAUAUUAUUGGGAUUUAGAGGUGAAAGACAAUUACACCCCUGCAGCCCUAGAAAUAGUUACGAUUGUAUCCCUAAUUCUGCCCUAUAAAUACAGGGCUUUGAUUCUUAAUAAAACACACAAAUCUAUUGAUUUCUCUCUGUUUUCUUCUCUUUUCUUCACUUUUAUAACAUAAAGAAUAAUUUGGCUUAGCGCGGAAUUUUCAAAUAAUUUUCUUGUUUUCGUCUCUGUCUUUUCUUUCUUGAUAUUUGUCUUGCAAAUAUUGCAUCAGAUGAAUGUUUUAUUAUUAAAUGUGGCCCUUCUUUUGAAGAUACCCUCUGUAGAGAAGAAAAAGAAAAGAAAGCAAAAGUUGAUGUAGCAGAAUAAUGUGAUAGAUGAUUAAUACUUUAAUACUUGUCGAUCAAUUGAAUAUCUAUGAUUUGUAAGUCGAGUAAUUCAUUGAUUCACUAAAAAUACUCAAUAAUUGGAAGAAUCAAGAUACUCUCAAAUUUUUAUUAAUAAAAUAAUAAUGAAUCUUAAUUCUAGAAUCCAAAGGAAAACAAAAUAUCCUACUUACUAUUCUUUACUAUUCUUAACAUUGACAAUUUCUUGAAAAGAAUAAUCUAAACAAAUCCCCUAUUAAACUAAACAAUAGAUUUAAUUAUCUUGAUGAAAAAUAAAGUCUAAUGUUCAUCAAUAAACGUGACAAAAGCUUACGAUGGAAAUUUUGGUAAAAAGGGGCGGGCUCCUGGGCUAAAGGCCCAUUAGUUCUGCUUAAACAAAUAACAAAAGAAGAGAACAAUACAUAAAUAAGGUAGUUGCAAUAUACAAACACAAUUUCAAAAUUAAGCAUCUUAUUUUAAAGUUGCAAAAAUCAGGCUAUAAUUCUAACUUAAUUAGAUUUAUAAAUAAUUAAAUAUAUUAAGGUCACAAUAUUAUAUACUUUAUGGGCACAGUUAUAUACUAAUCACAAUUACAAAACAUAAAAGUGAAAUCACAAAUUUUAUAAAUCAUAACUUAUUUAUCGAUCACAAAUUAUUAAAUUAAUUAGUCACGUAUUAUUUCUCAAUCACAAAUUACAAAUAAGUUAUAAUUUAUUUAUCGAUUACAAAUUAUCGAAUUAAUAGGCCACACAAUAUUCAUUGAUCGCAAAUCAUAAAUUUUAUAGAUCACAGUUUAUUUUACGGUCACAAUUUAUCAAACUAAUUGAUCACAAAUUAUUUCUCAAUUACAAAUUGUCAAAUUAAUUGGUCACAACAUAAUAAACCGUGAUUCACAAUUACAAAUGCAAUCUCAAUCUCAUAUUUUUUUAAGUCACAUAUUAUUUAUUGAUCAUAGAUUAUUGAUUUAUUGAUUAUAUAUUAUUUAUUGGUCCCAAAUUAAUCAUUUUAUUGAAGACAUUUACUGAAAUAAUUGAUCACAAACACCGUUUGGCAAACCCCACCCCACUCUACCAUCGGCACCAAUCGAAGUUGUGCCACCUCAGCAUCCCUACUAGCUCCACCACCACUUACACCACCAACACCGUAGCAUCACCACAUUUGCAAACUAGCUACCACCACUAACACUCCACUAUCAACACCAAUUGAAUGCCAAGCCACCUCACCACCACCACCACCAUUGUCAACAUCGCCACCACCAUUAUCAAACCACCAACAAAAACCAUCCUAAAACUUCGGCUAAGCAGAUCGAAUCAGAUUGGAGAAGGAAGAAACCACCCCAAAAUCGCAAAACUAUCCCAAAACUAUCACUGUUGCAUAGUUGCUAGGCAUUCUUCACACAACGACGAUGAGAUGAGCAUUGAGUGCAAUGAAAGCCACGACACUCAUCGUUCGGGAGUUAUGAUAGAAAAUACUUUAGAAUACACGAUAAAAGGCAGCGGCUAGAGAAGAUGGGAGAAAAAUGGUAGGUGCUUCAAUGACAACGUCGUUGUUGAGAGACAUGGGAUAAAUUGGAGGAAAUUUAGGGCAGGGUGAUAGAAAGAAGUGUCUUGAUUUAGGGUUGUGUUGAUUGAUAUCUCGAAUAAAAGAGAGUGAGUGAGUGAUUUGAUUUGAUUUAAGAUAGUUUAAUAAUAUUAUUAAUAUAAUUCGAAUAUUGAAUUAUAACCUAUUUUUGUAUAAAUAAGUUUUAAACAUGAUUUUUAAAAUUGAAAAUUUAAAUUCGCAUGUGGGCGCAAUUUCCAAUUUUCACUUCUUUUAGUGGAAAUUACACACACGCAUAGAUUUUAAUUUUCAACUUUAAAAAUCAAAUUUAAAACUUAUUUAUUCAAAAAUCAUGUCAUAAUCUACUUUGUAAUAUUAAUAAUAAUAUUAUUAAUUGUUCUCUCUUUUUCUAAAUUAUAUCCACUCAAAUACAAAACCCUAAGAAUCUCAAAUCAAACACGUACAGUGCUCCUUCUAAACUUCUUUCUGUUCUUCAGUGUCGAUCAACACCUUCUCAUUCUCCGACGAUGAGAGUAUAGGCACGCAUAGCAGUGCUCAUCACUGUGUGCAAUUUGGGGUUGUUUAGGUUUGAUAGUGGUUUAUAUCAAAGAUGGGAGCUGUAUUUUGGUAAUUUGAAUGUUGUGGUGAUGUUGUUGGAGUGGUAGCGAAUUUGGCUAUGAGCUAGUGGCAACUAUGGCAGCUGACGGGUAAUGGAGGUUUAGUUUGGAAAAUAGAAAUGAGAGUAGAAAGCUUCUUUCGACGUAGCAUCUGGAUCGCACAGAUGAUGAUAGAUUUGAAAUUUAUUAUUGCAUUAAAGUUUGCAAAUGAUGGUGGGGUGGGGACCUUUGCGACUGAUAAUUAUUUGGACAAUUGUGAUCAAUAAAAUGGUUAAUUUGAUAAUAUGUGACCGAUAAGAUAGAUAAUUUGUAACCAUGAAAUAAUAUUUGACCAAAAAUAUGUAACAUUGCAACUAACUGAUUUGAUAAUUUAUGAUCGAGAAAUAACUUUUGAUCAAUUUAUUUCAUAAUUUGUAACCGUGAAGUAAGUUGUGAUUGAUAAAAUUUAUAAUUUUUGACUGAGAAAUAAUGCGUGACAUAUUAAUUUGAUUAUUUGUAAUCAAUAAAUAAUUUGUGACCAAUUAAAUUUGUUAUUUGUGACCUAUAAAAUUUGUAAUCUUUUGACUGUGAUUGUAAUUAGUAAGUAACCGUGACAAUAAACUGCAUAAUAUAAUGAUCUUAAUAUAUUUAAUUAAUAAGAUAUUUUUAAUUAUUUAUUUAAUUAAUAAAUUUUGAAUUAUGACCUGAUUUUUGAAACAAUAAAACAAGUAUCUUAAUUUUGAAAGUUUAUCUUUUAACUACCUUAGAUAUGUAUUGUUGCCAUUUUUUUUUAAUGCGUCUAUUGAUGUGAUAAUAUUUUUGUACUUGUUUUCCUUAAUUAUGAUUGCAAGGAUCGUUAAUUGAAGCCAGAAUAUUUCGUGGCUUGCUAGUAAUGUCGAUACAUAACAUGUUAAUCUAUGGAAUAAUGUUGUGUGUAUAGGAGGGGUUUCACAUAGUCCUUCCAGAAUACACAUAGCAGGAGAAGGGCGGCUUUUGAACUUUUUAUGAGGUGGGUCCCAUAUGGGGGGACCCACCCUGCAUGUGUGUUCUGGAAGGGAUCUAUGAAACCCCUCCUGCUUCAUAGUUUUAUUCUAAUCUAUAUUCCAUUAACUUGAGAGGUAAUGCCUAUCAUUCUAUUGAACGAGAAUACCAAUUGUGUCAUUUCGUAGAGUUAAUUGUCCCAAUGAUUAGUGAACUUAUGUCUAUGUCUUCGAUUGUUCAUGAAAGUUUAAAAUAUCGAAUUUUGGUCACUAAACAUAUCUAAACGUUUGAUGUUACUCACUACUAGGGCUGUCAAUGGAUUGGAUAUGGAUCGGAUCUGCUCAUAUUCAAUCCGAUCUGCUAAGAAUAAUUAUUCGAUCCGAUAAUCCGACGGAUAUUUAAAUGUUAAAUCCAAAUCUGAUUAGUUGUAUUAUUGGAUAUCUGAUCUGACAACCCGAUACGAAAUUUAAAAAAUUAGAAAAAAAAUUUAUUUAUUUUUUUCAUUAAAAAUCAUAGACUGAACAAGAUUUUAGUUAAUUUAUUUAUUUUAAAAAAUAUUUAAACUAUCUUGAUGAGCUCACUUAUUAUAUAUUAGAAGGCCCAAAUCAAUUUUAUUAUUAUUAUUUUUUUUUUUUUAUUUUUUAUCUAAAUGAUGCUCAUUUUAACUCCUUUUAAAAAUAGACUCAUCUUAGAAUAUUUUAGUGAUAUUUCAAUGUGAGAUACUAGCUUUUUAAAGAAUUCUCCUCUUCCAAUGAUUUAGUGAUCUUUCGAUGUGAAAUACUAAUCAUAAUCAUUUGUCAAUUCUAAAUGUUUACUAGUUUACUUUAUUAUUUUCAUUAAAAAUCAUAGUCUCAAUAAGAUUUUAAUUAUAAACUAUCAAUUUGAAGAAAGUAAAUUAUUUUGGACAUAUUAAUUGUUAGUUUCUUAUUUUAUAAAACAAAUUAUUAUAGUAAAUCUAAUCAAUAUAUUAAUUAUUAGUUUUAUCUUAUUUUAAUUAAUAAAAAUUAAAUCUCUUCAAAAUUUUCAAUUAAAAAUAUUAUACUAUUAUAUAAUACUAUUUAUUAUUUAAAAAUUAUAUAUAAAGUAUAAUACAAUUUUCAAAAUGGAAAAAAACAGUGUCAUAAAUUAUGUGAUAACAUAAAAAUAUAAUAUAUUAUUAUAAUAAAUCGGAUUGAGUUUUUAUCAGAUUGGAUUGAUCUAUAUCCAUAUUUGAUUCAUUUAGUUAAUGGAAUAUCGGAUUCAAAUCUCAGUUGAGUUAUUGGAUUCAGACUUUAAAUCCAUCUCCCAUUAAUUUCAUUGGAUUCGGAUUGAAUUCGAAUCAAAAUUCAAUCCUUGACAACCCUACUCACUACUUUGACAUCCAUUUCAAUUCUUUAAUGAAAUUGGUGACGUAACUAAUGGAAUAUACAUGUGACGCCCGUCACGCUGAUAACAAAUUGUUACGUUUUUGAUUACUCAUCAAACUUUGCAAAAGUCUUCCAUUGCUCAAUUAAAGAAUAGUUAAAUUUAAUUUUAAUAUAUUUUGUAGAAUUUUAAGAUAUUUUCAUCAUUUGAAAAAUUCAAAAUUAUUGUGUUUCAUUGUUAAAAUUAAAAUAAUAUUUGAAUUUUACAACGAAACACAAUAAAUUUAGUUAAAUGGAUUUUACAACAAAACAUACAAUAUCCCUACUAUAUUAAAAGAGGCAAUCCCCCAUUUACUAUUCAUUUAUGAAGCAUUUUCUUUUCCCAUUUUAUCUUCAAACAAACAACAAAUCCCUACUAUCUCUCUACUAUCCUUCCUUAUCUUAAAAGAGAAAAUGUGAGGUUUACUGUUCAAUUUUGUCACAUAGGUUUUCACACGAAACUAGUUUGAAACCAAUUCGGUAACCAUAAAUUAUUCUAUUCAAUGACGUUGUAGCAUUAUUUUCACACGCCAUUUCACCAUUUUCACAUGCCGUUUCACUAUGAUGUCACCUCCACUACAAUAUUUCUUCAUUUUCAAACACUACUUCACUUGAUUAAAGGCAAUACCAUAUAUUAUAUAAUAAAGAAACAAACUUAUAUUUGAAGAUUAUUUUAAAAAAAUUGCCGAUAAAAAUAGAAAAAAAAUUAUUAUAAAGUUUUUAAAUUAAAUUAAAAAGAUUUAAAGAAAAAAUAAAUAUUAUUUAAUUCAAAUUUAAUGAAUGUCCUUAUACCAUGAGGAAUGCAUAAAAUUUAUUUUAUUAAACCAAAUUAAACAAAUAAAAUAAAGUUACAAAAACUAAAUAAAUAAUACAUAAAUAUUAUUUAAUAAAUUAAAUUGAAUAAAUUAAAUUUAAAAAAAUAAAAAAAUCUGACAAAGAGAAUCUCUCCAUCCACGAAGAGAAUCUCUACUUUCAAAAGGAGAGUUCUCCUUUUCAUUUUUCAAAAGGAAAGAACUCUCCUUUUGCACGGAUUGGUGAUAAUUUUUUUUAUUUUAUUUAUAGUAAUUUUUAUUAAUAAAUAUUUAAUUUUAAAAAAAAUCCUUCCAUAUCUUAAAAGAGAGAAUGUGAAGUUUAUUGCUCAUUUUAUUAGUGAUAAUAUUUUUUAAAAUAUUUUUUUAUAUAAAAGUUAUUCUUUAUUUCUAAAAUGUAAGAAGUUACUUAUAAUUAAAAAGAUCACUUCAAGUUAUUUAAAAGUAAAACAAACUAAUAAUUGCAAAAGUUACUUAUAAGUAAAAAAAUAUUAAUUUCAAAUUUUCUAAGUAUAAAUAUUUAGAUAUAUUUAGUAUUUUAAAUUAAAUAUUAAUAAAAAGCUUGCACUAUCUAAAAUGUAAAAAGUUACUUAUAGAUAAAAAAAUCACUUCAAGUUAUUUAAAAGUAAUAACAAAAACUUAUAAUUGUAAAAGCUACUUAAAGAUAAAAAAAAAUUAAAUAAUUUAAAAUUUUACUAGUAAUUUUAAUAACUUUCCUUUUUUUAAAAAAUUAUAGUAAAUUAUAGUUAAUAUCUUUUUAUUAAUAUUUAAGAUUGUUAAAUUAUUUAUUUAAUAUUUUUUAUUAAUAUUUAAUACUUGUGGUUCUUCAGGAACCGUAUUUUCAAUAUAUGAUUGAUCAAUAUUUUCUAAUAUAACUUAUUCCGAAAUUUUUGGUUGGUUUUUCUCGUGUACUUUUUCUUUUUCUACAGUAGAUUGUCCUACUGGAACAUCAAUUUUUGCUGAAAUAUUUUCUGCUGGAACAUAUGACUUUGUCACUUUUCUUGUGUCAACAAAUACAUCAGGUAAUUAAUUUGCAACUCUUUGCAAAUGAAUGAUUUUUUCAACCUCUUGCUCACAUUGAUUGCUACAAGGAUCAAAAUGAGAUAGAGUUGUUUCAUUCCAAGAAAUUUUACCUUGUUUUUCAUGAUGUAAUUUUUCCCCUCCCAAAGUUGGGAAAGUCAUUUCAUCAAAAUGACAAUCUGCAAAACAUGCAGUAAAUAAAUCACCCGUUAAAGGUUCAAGAUACCUAAUAAUUGAUGGUGAAUCAAAACCCACAUAAAUUUCAAAUCUUUGUUGGGGACCCAUUUUAGUACGUUGUGGGGAUGAAAUAGGAACUUGGACAGCACAACCAAAGACCCGUAGGUGAGAAAUAUCAGGUUCAUAACCAAAUGCCAGUUGCAAAUGUGAAUAUUAAUAAUAGGUAGCUGGUCUAAUACGAACCAAUGAUGCGGCUUGUGGUAUGCAAUGACCCCAAACAGUAACUGGGAGUUUUGUUUUCAUAAGUAACGAUUUAGCAAUAAGUUGUAGACGUUUAACAAAAGACUCUGCCAAACCAUUUUGUGUAUGGACAUGCGCAACUGAAUGAUCAAUAAUAAUCCCGAUUGACAUACAAUAAUCAUCGAAUGCUUGUGAUCUAAAUUCAUUAGCAUUGUCAAGGAGAAUAGUUUUAAUUGAGUAAUCGGAAAAUUGUGCUUGUUAUUUUAUAAUUUGAGCAAGUAGUCUAGCAAAUGCUACAUUCCUAAUAGAAAAUAAGCAAACAUGUGACCAUCUAGUGAAAGAAUCAAUUAAUAUCAUAAAAUAACGAAAUGGUCCACAUGGUGGGUGUAUUGGCCCACAUAUAUCUCCAUGAAUUCUUUCUAAGAAAGUUGGAGAUUCAAUAUUGACCUUUGUAAUUGAAGAUCUAAUGGCUAACUUGCCUUGCGAACAAGUUACACAUGGAUAAACAUUAGGUAAAAGAAUCUUCUGAUUUUUUAAAGGAUAUCCAUGUGAGUUGUUUAUUAUUCGACGCAUCAUUAUAGCUCCUGGAUGUCCAAGUCGAUCAUGUCAAAGUAUAAAACUUUUUGGGUCAACAAACUUCUGGUUCGUGACAUUAUUUGAUUCAACCAUUUUUAUAAAUGUAUAAUGCAUGCCAGAUGAGAGUGCAUGAAAUUUUUCUUUUUUCUACUUCUGACCAAAUACAAAAAAAGUUAUACAAAAAUAUUCGAUAUUAUUUUCUUGUGUCGUCUCAAUAUGAUAUCCAUUACAACGGAUAUCUUUAAAACUAAGCAAAUUUCUUUUGAAUUUGCUAGAAUAAAGUGCAUCAUUAAUAUAUAAUUUUAUAUUAUUUGGUAAAAUAAUACAAGCUCUUUCGAAGCCUUCAACGAUAUUCAAUGCACCUGAUAUUGUAUUGAUAUUAUUCUCUUUUAAUGUUAAGUUCAAAAAAUAUUUUUUUGUCUUGAAGAAUAGUACGUGCAGUUGCAUUAUCAAUCAAGUACGUGUCUUGACGAUCCAUCAUGAAUCUAUCAAUAUAAAAAAAUAGAUAUAAUUUAAAAAAUUUGAAUUUAAAUUCAAAAUGAUAAGCAUAAUUAAUCCUGUGAAAUUAAAAAUUGAUAAUAAAGUUAAAAAAUUUUGUGAAAAGUAAAAACAUAUUUCAAACUAAAUUUCUAAAAUAAAGGGAAAUACUAGAAAUAUAAAAAAUAAAAUAAAAUAAAUCUAAAUCUUCCAUCACACUAACCCCAAUCAAAUGGUCAAUAUUUUUAUUUGGAUCAGCAAAGAAAUCGGAGACAUCCAAAUGAGUCACAUCAAUUGGACCAUUAUAGUCAGCAAAAUUUGUCUCCACUUUUUCCUUUCCCUUAAUUGAUUUUUGGUAGAGAUCCACAAGGUGUUUUGUCGUACGACAUGUACGUGUCCAAUGCCCUUUUAUUCCACAUCUAAAAUAACUUUCUUCAUAUACCUUUUUAGGUGUACUACUUUCGUUUACUUUGUGCCUUUUGAAAUUGUUGCCUUGUUGUUGAUUAUUUCAUUCAUGGUUUACUCUGCGUGCACGUCUACGUCUACGUCCAAAUCCACGUCCACGUCCACAUCCACGUCCGUGUCCUUGUCUUGAUAUUGCAUUUGCUUCAGGCAAUGCAGUACCAUUUGCUUCGGGCAAUGGUAUAGAACUAGUUGGACGUAACCCAUGAUUUUUCAUCAGCAGUUCAUUAUUCUGUUCAGCAACAAGUAGGCAAGAUAUAAGUUCUGGGUACUUCUUGAAAUCACGUUUGCGAUAUUGCUGCUGCAGGAGCACAUUCGAAGCGUGAAAGGUGGAAAAAAAAUUCUUCAACAUAUCUUCAUCAAUGAUUUUUUUCUCCACACAAUGUCAAUUUUGAACAUAUUCUGAACAAUUUAAAAUUGUACUUGCUAACAGUUUUGAAGUCUUGCAAACGAAGGUACAUCCACUUAUAACGGGCUUUGAGGAGGACUAUAGUCAUUUGAUGAUCAAAUCUUUUAGUUAAUUUUUUCAAAGAACCUGUGGAUCUUUCUCAGUAAAAUAUUCAAUUUUUAGUCCAUCGUGAAGAUGAUGAUGAAGGAAGAUGAGUGAUUUUGCAUAAUCCUGCAGGGAUUCUUUAUUUCCUUCUUUUAUCGUCUCUCCCAAACCUUUUGAGACAAGAUGGAUAUCUAUAUCAAGUACCUAUGAUAAAUAAUUUUUGCCAGAGAUGUCGAGUGCAGCAAACUCAAGUUUUAUGAUAUUUGCCAUUUGAUUAACUGCAUAAUAAAGUAAAAGAAAAUAUAAUUAGUUUCGAAAAAUAUGAUUAAACUUCAUAUAAUGAUAAAUCAAGUAGUCAAUAUUAACAUGAUAUAAGUUACGUGUUUUCCUUCAGGGAUAAACAUGAAAAUAAUAUAUUCUUCGAAGCAUAUGCUACUUCAUGAGCACGUUAUAUUUUAUUAUUAUUUCUUCAAAAUUAAUACGUCAAUAUUCUUCUGGAUUAUCGAAAACUAUAAUUUAUACUCUUCAGGAGCAAAUAAUAUUUUUUAAAAAUAUUAAUUAUAAUAUUGUGCUACUUCAGGAGUAUCAACAAACUAUUUAUAAUAGAUAGAUCUUCAAUUAAUACUCUUGUAGAAUAUUAAUUAUAAUGUCGUGCUACUUCAAGAGCAACAACAUGAUAGAAUAUUAAUUUAAAAUUUAUGAUAGAACAACACAAAUAUUUAAUCAAGUUAAAGAAUAUUAAUUACCAUAGAAAUAAAAAAAUAAUUACCAAAUAGAUUGGAUAUGAAUUUAUAUUUUACAAUUAAUUACCAAACAUGUAUUACAAAAAAAAAUCUUAACUAUAAUUUAAAAAUUUAUCUAGAUAGUGCAAUCUUUUUAUUAAUAUUUAAUUUAAAAAAAUAAAUAUAUCUAAAUAUUUAUACUUAAAAAAUUUUAAUAUAUUCUAGAUAAUGUAAUCUUUUUAUUAAUAUUUAAUUUUAAAAAAAUAAAAAUAAAAAGAAAAAAACUCUUAAAAGAUGGGAUUGGGAUCACUAUUCAUUUUUGUCACUUGAGUUUUCACACUUGCACAAAGUGUCCCUUAAAAGUGGGUUUUGCUCUCUCUCGCUUUCAUUUCUCCAUGAGAAAGAAAAUUCUACCACAUUGAUUCUCAAAAUCUGAGAUAUCGAAACUCCGAGGGUCGAAGAAGAGAGCUUGAGAAGGAAACUGUCGUAUGAAGUGAGAAGAUAAUCUGCAGUAGUUGAUUAACUAAAAGCAUUGAAUAUGCGAUUUGGGCAAAAAAAGAUUUGGUAAUUGUUGAUUGUUUUUUAGUUUUCUAUUUUAUUAGCAUUCAGCGUGUUUCAUUGUUGUUUAAAAAUGCGUGAUAUCUUUAAACCUUAUCUAUGCUGAACUAGGAAUUUUAGAAAUUAUGCUGGUUGAUGCUCUAACUAAGGCUAUAAGCAAAAAUCGCCAAACCGAAAAAUGGAACCGAAAUCACAUUUUAGAAACCGUCGGUUUGGUGCCACGUAGACCCAGUCGACGAAAUGAUUUUGAACUAAACCAAACUUGUCAAAAUGGUUUGAUUUAGGUUUGAGAAUUUUAAUUAUGGUUUAAAACCAAACCGAACCAUCGAAAAAAUAUAUAAAAGUAAAAAAAAAUGAUUUUUUUUGAAAAUUCAUCCAAAUAUGUAAAAUUCAAUAGUUUUGUAAUUUGUAGGUAUUUUUGUCAAUUUCUAUUUUUCUAAUAUAGAUAUAUUAUUAUUAUUAUUAUUUUAUUAUUAUUAUCCAAUAAUCCUAAUUUAUAUCUAAUAAUCUCAAGACUAACAUAAUCUAUCAAAUACCUUUUUUCUCUUCAGAAUUUAGGUGAACUCCACUCGACACCCAACACAGUCUUGAACCAACGGCACCACACACUUCUUUCUCAGAUUUUUCAUGCAUAUUCAAAAUUGAAUUGAAGUCCAUUAUACCAUAUCGGAGAAAAAAAAAUCCUAGACCUUCGGUGAUAAUAUUUGCUACGAAUUAAGUUUUAGAUCAAUAAUUUUUUUAGGAGCAAACUAAGGUAAGAAUCUGAAAUCAAAUGCAUUUCGUAACAUCAUAUAAACUUGUGUAAUUAUUAUGUUUGAUACUAUAAAUAAAUGUUUUAUUAUUGUGGUUGAUUAUACUCUAUCUAAUCGGUAUUCUUUUUUCAAAUAUGAUGAUCACGAGGUCUUGUUGGAUAUCAUUAUAUUUUUGGGCCUUAUAUCUAGUUUAGUAAACUUGUAUUGUAACGUUAUUGUAUCGUCAUUAGCCUAAAAAAUGUGAAAAAAAUGAAAAGAACUAUGUUUUAGUUUAUUGUGAUUUCACUUUGAUUUAGUUGGUAUUUAAAUUUAUAGUAGAUAUAUUUAGGCCCUGUUUGAGCCAUAUUUUUCAUAUCAUUAUAAUGAGAAAAUUGACCACUAGAAAGGAGGAUGGGUCCCACACAUGAAAUAACAGGUCAACAAAGGUGGCUGAACUUGUAGGAUAACGGUCCAAAUUUUCAUUUUUUUGUCCCAAAAAUUUGGUUCAAACAGGGGCAUAGUUUUUUUUAGAUUUAUUGCUAGUAAGAUAUAAAUAUAUAUUGAAUUCAAUGAAUUAAUGACAUAAAAGUAGACAGGCAAAAAAUAUAUGACGAAAUUGGUGGUUUAAAACCGAACCAAACCAUUAGGUUUAGGUUUGAGAUUUUUUCAAAUCGUUCAAAAUGGUUUGGUUUAGGUUUGAAUUUUUCUCAAACCGGUUUAAACGGUUUGAUUUGAAAAUUUGUCAAAAAUUGGUAAAAUCGAACCGCUUACACCUCUAUCUCUAACUUUCUUUUAUUUUGCAGUCAGGGCCUCGGGAGUGUCCAUAUCAGUAUCUUAUAAGGCGCGACUAGAAGAAUGAAACAUUUUACCUCUACCUUGCUCUUUCACCAUGUCAGUAAACCUUUGUUGAAAGUUUCUAAGAUAACUUAUAAAUUGAAAUUUGCUUGUGUACCAAAUGAUAUUUAUUUAAUCAUUUUCUAUCUGGUAAAUUGACUAAGUAAAAUCUUGCAGUUUAACAUCUAUAGUUAGGAGGAUCGUUAAAAACAUGUUGUGCUAUUAGUCUUAAUAUCUCGUGAGUAGAGACAUCAUGUUUGAUGUUUGCUAAGUAUCUUGACUUAGUCUGUGACGCCCCGAACUUAAACUUUGAGGGUCACGUACUAAACAUAAUAACUUCUGCCUUUGGUACAUGUAAAUACUCUUAAAUAGAAGUAUUACAUGUUAGAAACUUAUUUUUCAAUUUGAUAAAACAAUUCUUAUAAAAUUUGAUAGCCAACAAAAGUGCAUGUCAACAAUAAAUUAUACUUUACAUAUACAGCCUCGGCAGUAUCAAGAUUAGUUGAGGCAGCAAGUUUGACAAUUUUUAUAAAAUUGUCCCAACUCCAUUUUACAUGAAAUUUGCGGCAUUAGAAAGAUAAUUUCAAGUAGUUUUCUAGGUUAAAAUAUGAAAAUUUUCCAAUAUCAUAUGAUAUAGACGUUUUACUGAAAACAGUGAAGUAUUACACAAGAAAUCUAGAUUGACCCCUUGACGUUAAAACCUUGAUAACUCAGGCCAUAGAUAUCCAAAUUGAGUGAUUCCUUCGGCCAUAUUUAUAAAACUCAAAGAGGAAAACAUACAUAUUUUUAUAGUUUCAAAUGGACGUUCAUAGAGUUAGAACAUCAUUUUGAAAAAUGACUCCAGAAACUGUCCCGUUUCUGCCUUUUGUCUCUUGUAAGGAAAAUAAACUACAAAAAUGUCUCUUAACAUAACAUGAAAGAUAUAAUUACAAAAUUUACUAUUAAUACCAUAUUUUAUCAUGUCAUGUACAUAUUUUUACAUAAUACCAUAAGAAAAAUAGAUGGAAAAACUGCCAUCGAACAAAACAUACAAAAGAAAACUUUCGAUGCAAAACAUCUUUGUCCUUAAUCCAUCAUCGUUUAAGCCAACUAACUUCCAUCAAUCCAAACGAUCAUGGAUCUGAAAAUUUAUCAUAACAUACUAUGAGUAUAAGAAAUACUCAGUAAGAUACCAUGCUUGGGUUUUUAUCAUGAUAAUACUACACAAAAGAAUACAAUCAAACACAUACUUGCAUAUUCCGGCUUGCCGGUGCCCUUCGGACUUGUCCUAAAGCAUAAAUAGUUAUCUAACUUUGUGGACUUGUCCACCAUAAUCAUAUUAUGGUUUUUCAUGCAUAGCUUAAGUAUAAAUAUUACCAUGAAGAUCAUACCCCUUAAGCAUAGAAAGUAUCUUACCGUAAAACUUGAAGAUCUUCGGUUGAGAGCCACCGCCUCACCCCCCUUUUCCUUCCAUUUUCUUUUUUUUUCUUGUUUCUACACAUGUUUAGCCUAUUGUCUAAGUGUAUGGUGAUGAUAAAUGCCAAGUGGGUUGAUUAUAGGGUAAUAAGUGGCCUCAAACCUAGAUUUACAAAGAAAACCUCUCAUCUUUUCAACUAAUAUAAUCUAAGCCCGCUAACUUUCAUUGUUAACAAAGUGUACCCCAAAUUUAAACUUAUACCCAACUUACAUAUUCAAAAAUUGUAGAUUGUAACAUAAUUUAAUCAUUUGGUCAAUUGAAGUCCUAACAAAAUAAUCCACUUCAUUUAAAUCCAAACUUGCCUUAAGUUUCGACUAACUAAUAAUCACUUCAUGCAUACACAACCUUUAACACUUCAUGCCUACAUUCAUUAACUGCCUCUAACAUUAACCACUACAAAGGUGGUGUCCCCUUUUACCUUAUGGCCAAAAAUAGUAUUGAAAGUUAAAUCGCUAUCCCAAAGAAAUUUAAACGAGCAUAAAAUUUCGGAGUAUUACAUGGUCUGUUAAUUUUUCUUUAUUUCUUGCGCCGCAAUGAUUAUUUUGAAUGCCAUAUAGCAAACCGUAGUGACUAUUUCAAAUGCCAUGACAAAUAUUUAUGCCACUAUUUCAAAUAUUGUAGCCCAACUAACAUUUUAAAAGAGUCCUUCAUACUUUUUUUUAAAAACAUAUCUUAUUGACUUUUGUCAUGUAGCUUCGAUGUUCGGCUAGCAUUUGAAACUAGAGCCUUUGUGUCUAGCUAAAAGUCGACGUGGAAGAAAGAAUUGAAUUCUAUACUAUAAAUGCUCGUGGUUUGAUAUUUAUACAUGUGAUUUCUAAAUAGCUAGACAAUUACAUACUAUCAAUUCUAAUUAUAUUGCAAUCUACAUAUGUUAAUAGAGUAUGAUAAACGAUUCUUUUAUCACCUAUCAAUGCAAAUGAUGAAGGCGACACACUAUAACCCAACAUAUUUAACACACUAGCAUUACGUUCAAAAUAAUCCAACCCAUGCAUUGCAUGGGCAAAGACUAGUAUUUAAUUAAAAUUUUGAUUUUCAUAACAAAACACAAUCCAUUUUUGAGAGAGACCAAAAGUGUAUGAAAUUUAUUUAAUUAGAUCUAUUGUGUGUUCGAUUGCAAAAUCUAAAUAUUAAUAUAAUUUUAACAUUUGAAAUAUAUAAUAAAUUUGAAUUUUUCAAAUGAUGAAAAUAACUUAAAAUUUUACAAAAUGUUAAAAUUAAAUUUCAUUAUCGUGUAAUUGAAUAAUCUUUUCUUGUGGGAUCGACAAUCUGUACUCGUUUGUUCACUUUAUUACUUUUACGCGACCCGUGCGAUUGUGUUACAUAUUUUUUAACGAAUAAUAAGUUGACGUCAUUUUUAUAAGUUUGAUUGCCAAAAUUUGACCACCUCAAAGUUCAGUGAGCAAUCGAAAAUAUUUUCCAAAAUUUAUGAGCAAUCGAAGACUUUUUCAAAGUUUAGAACUUCUGAUCAUCAACUUUAGUUCAACGAUGACGACGUUAAAUAUUUAUUUGAUAAAGAUCAUUCUCUAUAAGUGAAUUUGACGUGAAUGAUUUAUUUAUUGCAAGUUGCAUCAGAUGCCAAUCAAUAAAAGCAUUGCUCAAUGAAGAAGAUUUUGUAGGACUAUUCAAUGAUAGGAGAGAUACUAUGGGACUUAUGAUUAUGAACAAUAGUGACGAUGAAGAUUGUUAAGUGUUUUGUCAAGUAGUUAAUAAACUCAGCCAUGCAUUAAUGAAUGUUUGCUUUGCCAAGAUAAUCUUUUUAUAAUGGUUUGUAGUAGUGGAUGAAGAAAUCAUCACCAACUUUCACUAUCUAGAAUUUGCUAGACUUAAGCAUGCAGAAUAUUCUAGAGACUCAUUAUUUGCUGGAAAUGGAGAUCACCACCAUUCAUAAAUAAUCUAGAGAAUAGAAUUGUGAAGCCAAUGGAAGAAUUCUUUAGAAAAAUAUAGGUAGUAAACUUCACUGCCAUAUUUUGCCUAUAUAUGUGUGUUGGCUGAAUGUAUGUGUGUGCAUGCUUAGAGAAAGUAAAGAGCGUGAGAGCAAAUAGAAUAAGUGGAAAAGAUUGACAAAGUGACAUAGUGUAGUGUGUUAGUGAGGAGUGUCUCCAUAUAAUCAAAUUGUGUCUAAAAAUGUGUAAAACUAUUCAUAAAUAAAAUAACAUCUUUCUUUAAGCCCUAAAUUCUACAAUUUGGUAUCAGAGCAAGGUGGUCACAAAAGGAUUUUUUGAGCUUUUCGAGUUCGUGCACAAAAGGAGUUUGUGAAGCUUUCGUAAAGCUUACUUGAUUACGAGGAGGUAAAUUAAGUCACGAUGAACAACCUAGUAGUGGAGUAAAGAAGCUUAAUAAUCAUAAUUACACCACAUGGCAAACUUGCAUGGAGUCAUAAAAGACAUGUGGGAAGUAGUUGACAGACUUAACAUGACGCCGCCAGAGGAAGUCGGAGCUCUGAAGAAACGAAGAAUCAAAGUGGGCAAGCUUUAUUUGUUAUAAAGACAACAAUCAAAGAAGAAUUAUUGGAGCCAAUAAGAGACAAGAUUACACCAAAGAAAGCAUGAGAUACUUUAGCCUCAUUAUUCUCGAAGAAAAAUGACUUGAGGUUGCAAUUGUUGGAGAACGAGCUGCUCUCGAUUACUCAAUGAGAAUUAACAAUAAGUCAAUAUUUUAAUAUUGUUAAGUAUCUGUGUCGUGAAAUUUCAGAGUUAGAUUUUUCGAGUAAAGUUUCGGAAUCUCGAAUGAGAAGAAUAAUUAUACAUGGAUUGAGACCCGAAUUUAGAAGUUUUAUCACCGCAACACGAGGUUGGCCCGAGCAACCUUCAUUAGUUAAUCUUGAAAAUUUGUUGACCGACCAAGAGGUGUUAACCAAACAAAUGUUAGGAGUCUCGUUAAAAAAAGAAGAUGAAGAAGCAUUAUUUAGUUACAGAAGAAGUCAAUUUCCUCAACAAAAUUAUAAAGAAUUAAAAGAAGGUAAAUUUGAAGGAUGGAUUGAAGGAAGCUACCAGGCAAUGGGAGCUCAGCAAAAUUAUGACAAGAGAGGUCAAAGAUAUCAACGAACUAAUGACGCGUGCUUUGUAUGUGGCAAAUGAGGCCAUUACACUAGAGGUCGUUGGUUUAAAAAGGAGCUAGCAAAAGGUAAUGUAUCAACCUCAAACAAUGAAGAGAAAUACAAUAGUAAAGAAAAAUGGGAUGCGGAGGCAACUAUAGAAACAAUUGAGCGGGCUCGAGAAAAGAAAUUUAAUUCAAAUUUAAAGGAUAAAUCAGCAUUGGUGGUAGUCUUGCUUGAGAAAAUAGAUUGUGAAGAUAAUUUGAUUGAUGAUUCAAGAGAAUAUGAUUGGAUCAAUGACUUAGAAGAGGACAUCGUGUUUUAUGAAGAAUCUUUAGGGUGGACUCCACAGAGGGAGGAACAACCGAAAUUAGAAGAAAUGUUUGAAACGCAGACAUCAUAGAGGGUGGAAUUGCUAGAUUCAAAAGAAGCAUAUUCUUUGGAAACAUCGCAGAGGGUGGAGGAGACACCGAAUAGGGUAGAUCCGCUAGAGGCAAAGGAACUGGAAGACAAAUCAGAUAUCACAAAAGCGAAAUGAAGUCCCAAGAAAACAAAAGAUGCACAAGGAUCAAGUUACGAGAAGAGGUCCAUUAGCGCGAUGUAAAAUUCUUGGCAAACGGAUGUACAACAGAUAAUACCAUAUGAGAUUAAGCCAAGUCAACAAGAAGAUAUUAAGGUAUGUUCAAAUUCACGACUAGAUGAGACGAAGAAGAAAAAUGUUAAAAUGUGAAGUUGGUGCUGAAGGGGAGAAUUGAAGAAAUCAUCAUCAACUUUAAAUAUCUAGAUUUUUCUAGACAGUAUGCAAAAUAUUCUAGAGACUCAUUAUUUGCUAGAAAUGAAAAUCACCAACAUUCAUGAAUAAUCUAGAGAAUAGAAUUGUGAAGCCAAUGGAAGAAUUCUCUAGAAAAAUGUAGGUAGUAAAACUCCACCUCAUUUGCCUAUAUAUACGUAUGUUGGCUGAAUGUACGUGUGUGCAUGAGCAGAGAAAGUGAAGAGAGUGAGAGCAAAUAGAAUAAGUGGAAAUGAGAGACAUAGUGAGGUGUUCUAGUUUGUUUGGUUGGUCUCUUUGGUGUGUGUCCAAAAUUGUGUAAAAUUUUAUUUUAUCAAUAAAAAUUUUAUUUCUUUUGUUGUUUAAACUCUAUAGUGGACAAAUAAUCGAAAAGAUUUUUCUUCUUUCUCUAUUAUUAUAUUUGAACCGCCAUAUGGGUAGAAAAUGCAUUAUUACAAUAGAGAAAUAAAUUAGUAAAUAUGAAACUUUGAGACUGGAAUGUGUGAGUUUAUGAAUGGAGAACGAGUUCUUCUUCUGUAGACACCUGUGAAAAGUGUAGAGAAUUCUAUAUUUCAUACAAAAGUUUUUUUUUUCAUACGUACACCCUUGAUCAGUUUUUCAACCACUCUACCCACUACAUAAGACUUCACAUUUUUUAUACCACUAGUGAGUAAACGUGUGUUGCACGUUAACUGGUUAAUACGUAAAAUAAGUGUGUAAAUUUUAGAAAAAUUCAUUUAUAAAUUUGAAAGGUAUUCAUAAAUUCGUUGAAAUUGACUUAUUUUUCAUUAAUUUUCUCUAUAUAUUUUUUAUUCUUCAUAUGAAUAUUUGAGAGUUUGCAUAUAUUUGUACUAGACAUUUCCCUGUACAAAAUUUUGUGGGAAUUUUUUUAUAAAAAAUAUAUUUCUCUAUCUGAAAUAUGAUUUAGCCCACUAAAGCUUUGCCCCUAAUCCAUACUAUGAUUAUAAUAAUUAAAUAUCCCAAAGAUGUACAACAUAGUAAUAACUAUACUAUUGCAUUCAAAUGGUUUUUCAUGCUAACAGGCACCAUACAGAAUCCUAAAUUAUAGCUUAAAUUGUUAAAUGCAAUUUCAUGUAUUAACCUUCUUCCAAAGAUCUGAUUUUGUUGUCAUUGGAGCUUGACUGUAAUAUUGCAAAAACAUAAUUGGAACAUUAGAAAAUAAUGUAGACAUGCGCAUAACCAUAAAGGGAGAAAACCUCUUCAAACUUUUCAAAGUUGAAUUAAAAAGAAUUUUUAAUCGAAUAAAAAAUUGAUUAUAAUAUGACGAAAAAAGAAAUUUUAAAACAAUUUUUGAAAAAUAUAAUGAAAACAAAACAAAUUAAACAAAAGAAAGUUACGAAAAUUAAAUAAAAAAUAUAUAAAUUUUAUUUAAUCAAAAUUAAAAAAAUUUAUCAUAAAGAGAAAAGAAUUUCAAUUUUUUCCAUCGUGGGAGCAAAAACGACGUCCUGUUGCUUUCAAUCAUUUCUAUAUUUUCACACGCCACUUCACCGCAAUUAUUACCUCCACUACGACAUUUCUUCAUUUUCACACACCACUUCACUUCAUCCAAACCAAUACUAAAAAAGAAAAGAAAGUAAAUGAUUUACCAAAUUGAAGAACACAAAAAAAAAGAUCAUUAUAAUUUUUUUAAUUAAAUUGAAAUAAUUAAAAUUAAAUUUUUUUUAUUAUUUUUAAAUUAAAAUUGAAAAAUUACAUUUUAUCAUAAAAUGAAUAGAAUUAAAAAGAAUUUUAAAUUGAAAAAAAUAUUUAUAAUAUAAAAAAAGGAAUUUUAAAAUAAUUUUCUAAAAAAUAUACAAUAAAAAACAAACAAAUUAAAUAAAAGAAAGUUAGUAAAAUUAAAUGAAGAAUAUAUAAAUAUUAUUUAAUUAAAAUUGAAAAAAUUAAGUUUUAUCAUGAAGAGAAAAUAAUUUUUAAAUCGAAAAAAAAAAUAUUUAGGACAUGAACAAAACAAAUUAAAAAAAAGAAAAACUAAAUGAGGAAAAAAACGAAAAAUCUCCAAUUUCUUUCCAUCCCAUGGAAAGCUUUCUCUGUGGCAUCCAUGAUGAAACUUUCCAUUUUCUCUCAUCUAGGAUGGAUCUUGGAAGGAGAAAAAUGUUUCCUAAACCUCCAUUCAGGAUGGAGAAAAAAUCUCUAAACCUCCAUCCAAGUUUACGGAGAAAACCUCCAUCCAAGAUGGAAAAACGAUGGAGAGUGGUGGAUCUCUCCAUCCAGGAUGGAGAAACUCUCCAUUCAAUCCUAGAUGGAGAGAAUUUCUCACGGAGCUAAUGAGAGUUUCAUCGUUCAGCGUGGAGACAACUCUUCGCGUUAAUGAGCGCAUUGCAAAUCUUAGAAAAUGGACAAGGUUUGUUUGUCCCCCUUUAAAAUAGUGCUGGCAUCAAGUUUCACACAUUCUCAAUUACGAAAUUCCACUUGUCCAAUAUUGAUAAAAUAAAUAAAUUUAUCUCUCGCUAUGAGCUAAAAUUUUUGGAUAAGUUGAUUCAAUCAUCAUCACAUAUCUCACUGCAUGCAACCUCGAGUUCUUAUGUAACACCCUAAAAAUUAAAUACCUAAUUUUGGAUAUAUUAUAAUUUAACAUCUCUUAAAAUCAUAAAUGCGGAAGCGAUUAAAUUUUUCUUCAACAUAAUAACCAUCAAUGACUUCAUUUAUAAAACAUAUAUUUGUACCUAGUAAAUUAAAACUUAUGCCAUGUUUGAUAGCCUUGAUUUUCCAUGGAAAAUAUUUUUCAUUUCCACCCAAUUUGUGUUAGUUGAUUGCUAAAAUUUCCAUGGAAUUUGUUUUCCAACUUCUUGCCACACAUGUGCCAAUUCCAUGGUUUUGAGGAAAAUCAAUUCUCACCAUUUUGGUGAGAAUUGGAAUUCCAACCCCCUUUCUUUUUCUUUUCUUUUUUUAAAUUUUUUUUAGCAAUUGGAACAAAUUCUAUCCCCAAUUGUAACAAAUUUUGUCAAUUUAGUUCACAAUUUUCAUGAAAAAUAAAGCUAAACGAACACCAAAAGAUAAAAAAUUUCAACAUUUUUCAGGUAAAAAAUUAUACCAAUCAAACACAUUUAAUUGUCAAUUCCCAGGAAAACAAGUUCUAGCUAAUUCAAUUCCCUGGAGUUCGUUUUCUUUCCACCCAAAAUUCAUCCUUACAAUCAAAUUGACCCCUAAGUUCAUUUCAAAGUGAAAUCAAAUCUAAACUAUAUUGGUACUGAGUUCGUGACACCACAAUCCGUCAUCUCGAAUCAUCAUGUCUUCAUCAUCUGAAAAUAAGGAAGGGUAACGUGGGAUGAGCUAACCCUCAGUAAGCAAACCCCAUGCACAUGAUGCAUGCUGAUGACAUGCAUAUGCACUACUUUAAAACGAAAUGCAUUUCUCAAUACGUAUCCCCAUUUUUGCAUUUUUUAAAAACAUUAGCAUUGUUGACAUCCAAACUCCUACCUAAUAAAAACAAUUCGCUAAUCCCACCUCAGUUAAAUGUAAGUUCGGCUCAUACUCCCAGGUCGGACAAACCCGCCGUUAUCUCAAAAAAAUAUCAUGAUUACCCCUUGUCACAUCACCCUAUCAAUCAGAUACAUUUGCCACAGGUGACAUGAUUGCGGCCCGGAACAACCAAUUCAAAGUCCUCGAACUCCAGCCCCCUUACAGGUCAUCAUUACCUGGAAAAUACAUUGACACAUGAACACCGGCCUUAUCGACCAAUCACAGGAAAAUUUGGCGACCUGAGUUCCGAUCUCGGCACUGUUGUUGAUUUGACUGAUUUGAUGUAAUUUCGGCUGAAACUAUGUAUAAAUAGUUGAAUAGGACUCUUGUAAAAGGCAAGUGAAUUUGUAUAACAACUUAUGGGACAAUCACACGAAAAAGACAUUUUUUGUGGUCUUUUUCAAGCAUAAAUCGCCUUUUUUCUUAAAGUUGGUUCAAAAUUAUCCUUGCUAAUUUUGACGUCAACAAGUAUCGUGAGCUCACUUGAUGUACUGCAUAUAGCCAAUCAGAAUACAAUGGGCCAUGUUAUUUGGAAUAUGAUCGAAUUCUACCCGUAGUACUGUAAAGCAGUUAACAUUAACAUUAACGUUAACAUUUAACAUUCAUCAUUCAUCAUUGAACAUUGGUCGGGUGCGCCGGUCCCUUACGUUCCAUUUCCCACUCAAACUUCAUGACAUAGACAUAAAUCUGAUAACAAUAACAUUCGGGAUACAUACCUUUAAACAUUCAUUGAGUAUGACAUUUGAAAACAUUUUAUUCGUUGAAACUUCAUGUAUGCUUAUAGAUGCAUUGACAUGCAUGAGUAUGCAUGAAACAUUCAUGACAUAAAACGUAAUAAUUAAACAUCAUGUUCACAUUAUAGCAAAUUUAUGUAACACAUUCAUACAUUUAAUAAUAUCACGUGUCAUGAAGACAAUGGGAGGUUUAGUUGGAAUCCUUAGCAAUUAUUUUUAGGAUAACAAGUGAAAAUGUCCCUAUCCGCCCAUGAAAUCAAAGUGCUGAAAGUCCCAAUUCAAUUAUGAACCAUAAAUGAAACUUCUCCAAACUCAUCAUUAGUUGUUAUUUUUAUAUUAAAUGGAUAUUAUAUUAUCUCAAAAUUAUCAACAUCUCACAAGUUAUGAACUUAAAUGCAUGAACUACAUAUACUAAACAAUUAAUUUGAAUUUCCAUGUUGCCACCAUGUCAAACACGAAAUUAAUAGUCAUGGAUCACACUUGCAUCAUUUAUUUAAUGUCGCCCAUAAUUAAAAGAUACCACACCUUUUAAAAGCCUAUAUGUAUAAAUUGUUCAAAUGAUACAUAGAGCAAAACCCAAAUUGACUAGGGCCAUGUUUGGACACUCUUAAAAACUUUACUGGUUGACAAGCAUUAUAUCUAUUCAAAAGAAUUUCAAACAACCUAAUUUAAUCAGAAAAAGUUAUCUUAUAAAGUAAUAUUUUUGAAAAAUUAAAUGUAAGUACUUAUACUUACUGGUAAGAUUAGAUUAAAAUCGUAGUGUGUAGAAAUCAAUUGAGAGGAUUUCAAUGUUGGUAAAUAAGACAUUUAUAUCUCUCUAUAUACAUAUAAGUAGAUAAAUACAUGUAAGUCUUUAUUAAUUACUUAUUUGUCUUUGAGGAGACAACUUAUCACGUAACAAACACUCAUACGGCAAAAUAGACACGGGAAAGGACCAAAACAAUAAAUGAAGUAAAGAAUUGAUAAAAUUAGACUUCUUAGAAAAUAAAGAAGAAAGUGAUAGGUAAUGUUCAAUCCAGUACAUUAGCAAUGUGGUUUAAAUAAAUCCGUAAAGGUGUAAUAACAUGAAAAUAUAAUAUGCAUAAAUUCAAUUCUGUAUACGUUGGUGUGAAAAUGAAGCAGAUAAGUAUUCAUGACUCAAAUAAUGAAGAAUGAAUUUAUCAAGACACAAGGCAUAAAAUUCAAGCGCAAGAAAUAUAGCCAGAAAAAUAAAUAAUUUUCUAGUACCUCGUGUGCAAGUCUUAAAAUCCAAAAAGUUGCACUGGUAGAAGAAUAUGAGAAUUUUCUUUAGUUUGAUAUUUUCGUGGUCCUAAUGAAUAAAAGGAAGUCUUUAUUUUGUAAUGAGACGUUUAGUAAUAGGGAAGGUAUUGCCUUCUAAUAAUGAGUCCACUUAUAAAGGAAAGCUUUUUGGUACAUAGUUAAUUAAAUCUAAAUUCGCUGAUUUCAUUGGCUAGUCAAAAACUUAAUUUCUUGCUUAGUUAUUAAUCAAUUUAAAUAAAUAGAAUAUUCUUAAUAUAAAAUUAUCAAAGUGUCCAAGUAAAGGUCUAGGUUAUUAACAUAACUGUGGAAAAUAAUAAAACUAGAAGCAUACAACUAAAUGAAUAUAUCAUAUGAUUUAUUUUCAUUUAAUAGGAUUGUAUACACAUUGUAAUUAUUGCUAAGCACGCUGAUCGUGAAGGAAGUAAAAUUUACAUUCCAUUGCAAAAUAUGAUUAGUCACAAAUCACAAUAAAGAUAAUUAUAAUAAUUUAGUAAAUAUAAUCUUAGUACAAAAUUUAGAUAGACAUGAUACUCACAAGACGAAUUUGCUUGAUACCACUGUCUUUAAAAGGUUAGAGGUGAACAAUGCUAACUACAGAUGCAAAUCAUCACAAAAUUUGCUAAAAUGAUCUAUUCAGAUUCAACUUGUCGGAUGCUUGUGAUUACUGUGAUUCAUGCGAACCUUUUAUGAAAAGGGAAUAUUAAUACUUUUACAUGCUUUUCCUGGAAGAGAAAAAGAAAGAUUGCUUUACCAAGUACCUAUGAGCAAAUUUCAACAAUAGAAAUGGCAACUUAUUAUUUUUAAAUACUAAAUCUCUAAAACUUCUCCAAUAGCUUGUCAAAAAUUAUCGUCCAUUUCAACACCUUUCUUCCUUCUUUCUUGAUAUAUUAAUGCUUUGCCUAGCCUCUGAUAGCUAAAGUUUCGAGUUAAAAGAAUUAUCGUACUAGUUCCUGAAUCCAAGGAACAAAAAUUUCUAAUGUAUAAGAUUGCUCUCAUGUCAUGUCAUGUUACACUAUUUUGGCAUUGCAUAUUAAAUUGGCUAGCAGAAGUUUUUGAUGUCAAAAUUAGUGAUUCUAUUCUAUCCUUGUUUUUCUAAACUUGAAAAUAUGCCUUCACUUUUUUGCACGUUGAUGGAGUAGUAGAACUAAAUAUCAUGAGAAGCCUAUGCAUAUUUUGAAUAUGAAAUUUGAGUAACACGAAAUCAUAUAAACCUGAUUUCUGGCUCACUAAUCAACACACUUUUUUUAUUCUUCCAAAAGCAUAGAAUAUGAGAAAAAUCUACAUUGGGUAUGGUUCGGACGUAGGUACCUAUGAUACCUAAAGUGUAAUAGUCCACAUGGGCUAUGCCUAAAGCAUGCCAGGCUACCUGAACCUGGAUGGCGUAACAUACUUUCACACACCUAAAAUAGCUACAGUUUUGAUGGUAAUUUAUCAGACCAUUUCCCGAACCACAAAAUGGUUAGCAUACAAGUCCCAAGAGCCUGAUUUCCAAGCUCAACCGAAAGCUAAUAGCAUAGAAAUGUAUGUUAGAAGGAGAAUAUUCAUGUUUCUUUCUGAAUUGAAUGUGACAGAGAAUGCAAAGGCAACUUACUCAAUUCAUUGUUACAUAAAAAUUCUACAAAAUCAAUUUUUUACUAUCAUUUCAAACCGUGAUAACUGAAAAACACUGUUUAGUUUAUCUUGUCUUUAACUGCAAUCAUUUGAAACCUCUCAUGGAAAGUGAAAUCUGGAAUCAUGCGCCUGAAUACUGAACAGAUUAAUAUCUAAAAGAUACUCUCCUAUUUUAACAUGGAAUCCAGACUAUUCGGCCUAUUGAAUCACUAUCUUUCCAGAUUCUCAGAAAUAUUAUCUUCCAAUUUUUAGAAUAUGGUUUAGAGGGGAUCAGAUGAAGAUAACAGAUCUUCAGCCUAAAUAGCAAUUAUAAGCAUAUUUCUCUUGGCAAAAAGGGAAAAAGAAAUUAUUGCUCAAAUAAACUAAGGUUCAGAUAGAGAUCAAAAAUUCAAAACAGGAAUAGACAACCAAGAAUCCUUGACAGAAUGCAGCCUAUUGGAAGGACACGGACAUAAUUUAUAUUUAAUAGAUAAGAUACAGCAAUCAUAACAUUAUACAAAAGGUAUCAUGUGCUAAACACAGACUUCUAUCAACCACGGAAAGAAGAAUGUAAGAAGAGAAUUGGAUGCAGAAUGACUGAAUUUUGAUACUACUUUAAAUAAUAACCUAUUUUAUUAAAUAAGUGAUUUUUCCCUGAUUUGAUAAUGGGUAUGUAUGUUGUUCAUUCCUACCUAGAAAUAGAAAAAUUGGCAUAUGUGCUAAUAUAAUGGGUUUUGACCGGCCCUGUUUGAUGCUCUUAACUAGCAAAUUGGAAAUGUUGAGAUUCUAUCUUUAGAUUUUAUGUUUUUCAAGAAAGAUAGUACUUUUAGUUAUCAUUUUAUAACCCAAUUUACAGAGAGCUUUGUAAUCUCAAUCAAUGUACACAGUGUAAUAAAGCUUAAAACAAUACAGAUUCAUUAUUCUAAUAAUAUUUACAUAAACGAGAAAAGUAGAAGAUUAAGCAGUUACAUUCUAUCUGGAAUUUUAUCUGUUUCAUCUUCACAUUCCAUGAGAGUUUGGACCACAGCAGCAUAGUAGGCCGCUUGCUUUGGUCUUCCUCUACACAAGAAAGGCCUAAUUGAAUCAGUGUUGCUGCUUGUUUUCUGCUAUAAUUCCCUUCCAAUCUUGAAUCCACUAUGCUCUCUACCCAAGAGGAGUUUCCACCCUCAGAUUUUUCCUUAACUGUCCUGUCAAGACUUUUAAGAGGAAUUUUGUGAUUGUCAGCAUCAUCUACCACCCAAUUUGAGAAUUUAAU